AACACUACGUUUUUGCAUAAUAGAUUCAUUCAAAAUUUCAGUUUCUUGCACAAUGAAGUUCCUUGAAUCUCAAUUUUAGAGGUUUUCCAUAUUGGUUAAAAGCACUCACCUUGUUACUUGUUAGGAUGCAAAGGAAGUCACAAGACUUGCCUAUGGUUUAAUUCAUUGGUCUUUUUCUAGAAAAGUAUUACUACCAAUGUAGUAAGAUCUACUUAUUUACUUUCCAGAGAGCUACGUUUGUAUGAUUAUGCUAGAGUUAGGAAUCAUCCUAGUCUGUUAGUAUGGUAAAAUCCUCUACACUGAGUAAUGAGGAUUCUAGACUGAUAAAUGUUGUAAUUUGUUAACUGGAAGAGUAACAUUAUAUAAAUGAAUUUUACAUUUCUGGUCUGCCAAUAUUUUGCUUCUGGACUCCAUAAAUUGAUCUCCUGGUACUUAUGGCUUAGCAAACUGCACAAUGAAGUGUAAUGCCUUGAGUACAGAGUCCAUGCGUCAUUCCAACGGACUUUUUCCAGUUGUUUGCUUUGUUGAAACAAUAUUCAUGGAAGUGUCCGUACUGUAUUCAUAUUAUCAGAAGUGAACGCUGAUUGAAAUACUUUUUUGCAGGUGUUAUACUGUGGCAUUACUUGAGGAUAGAAAGUAUUCUACGUUGGCUCCUUUCGGUGGCUUUGCUUUUAUCGCUGCUUGGGCUAGCUUGCUCUUCUAAGAUUUCCAACUUCUCAGGAUCCCUGCCCAAUUUGUGUUGUUGAGUUCACUAUUUAUGAUCAUAUACCCUUUCAACUGGGCAGGUAUAUCCCAAUGUGGAGUCUCCUUGAAUUUCAAAGUUGUCUUCCCCUUUGCCAUGCCAAUUAUAUAUGGUGUAUAUCAAUCUACUGAUUAUGCUACUUUAAUGUUAUUUGGUGCUGUUUGCAUGGGAGCUUCUACAAUGAGGAGUUUAGAGUGAGGAGCUCAUUUGAGGGGUUCAAUCCCACCAUCAAAUCACUUAAAAUGUUUAAGUCCAUUGGUUUCCUCACAUUUGUUGAUGCUUGAAUUGAACUCCUCAGAUAAACUCCUCACUCUAAACUCCUCAUUAUAGCAUUUCUGCUGUUUGCAGAUACUUGUAGAAUUCUUUCCCAUAUAAAUGAGAUUACAGGUUUGCAGAUAUAAUGUUUAUCCUUGUAGCAUGUUUAUUUUAUCUGACACUGACAAAGCCCAUUUCUGAUAAAGUGAAUAAUGAAUGCUGAAGAUUAUUGGCCCUUGGAUUGGCAUGUAUGUAAGGUUUUGAGGCCACGAAACACCCACUUGCAAACGUUCUUUUCAUUCUGCUGUGUGGUUUUUAGCUAGUUGCUUGGUUUUCCAACUGGACCAACUCCAUCUGGUAUCUCUGUCGGUGCAAAAGAAUGAUUUGUCCCGUAGCUUGGCAAGUUUUUAUAAAUAGAAGUGAAUUUGUUGAUUAAAAGGUUAAAAUAUAUUUUUCUUUUUGGUUUUUGCCAAUUAAAAUACAUACUGGUGAACUUGUAAGGUUCAAACGUAUGUCCACUGGGCACUGGCGCAGUGACAAGCUUGGGAAGAACAACAAAGUACAUACGAGAAACAGAGCAGAAUCCACAGUACAGUGGAGAUGAAGUGCCGUGACUGCUUUCAUGUUCAGUAAAAAUUCUCUAUUUUAUCAGUCUGGUUCUGAUCCCUAAUUGCAAUGCCUCUGUUUCCCCCUAAGCAGGCAAAAUCAUGUGACCAAACCAAACAAUCAGUGCCAGCCUAAAAACCUAUUUUGGCUUUAGCUGCAUCAUAAUCAUACUGGACCUCCUUUGAAAAUUAAAUGUGCCAGGUUGAAAAAUAGUCUAAUUUGCAGAAAAAGGAAUUCGAAUUUGAGUGUAAGAAAGCGGAUUCAUUGUUCUGACGAACAGACCUAGUCCUAAGUAUGCUACUUGACGUAAAGUUGAUCUGCAACGACAUUUUUUUUUUUUUUUAAUUUUUAAUUUUUAAUUUUUUUUUUUCUUUCCGGUUACUAACAACCUCACAUCUUUGACAACCUUGAAAGUUUAUGUUUCACUUGGGAUUUUGAGGAAUUUUUGGAUUUUAGGGAAAGCCCUUUGGCUUAACGCUUACGAAGCUGAGCUGUAUAAUACCACCUUUAGGGAAAAUAUCAACAUCUUUUGGUGCCCUAUCGUAACAGUCAAGGGUCACAAGGGUCCUACAGAUCUUAAACAAUAUCAGAAUGAGGCCCCGGUUAUGUCUUCAAGCCAGAAGGAAAGCAAAAAAAAGGUCAGGUCCACCCUUGUCAUUGCAUUGCAUUCAUCAAGCACCAACAUCCAGGCCCCUCCUAUCACAACCCCUCGCUUUUAGGACAUGAAAUUUAUAAAUUAUAAUCUCUCGUUAAGAAAAAACUUUUAAUAAUCAUAUUGGCCUCCAAUGAGCUCCUUUGCUUUCUAACAACUGCAUCGAUAAGAUGUUUCUUUUGCUGAAAAAGUUGCACAAAUUGAAGGAAAACAAAAUGAUCAAGAACCACCAAAGCAUAAAAUACCAUGAUAUAAUUAUGCAGCUUUUGAUUCCCCUAUUUGUGGGUAGAAUGAAUUAUGAGUAGUCAACGAGGUCUAACCCAAUAGAAAAAGGCUUUGAUUUGCAUACCAGUGGUCUUAAGUUUGAACCCCCAUAACACUUUGAUAGUGCAUGUGUGAGAAAUCUCCAUCCCCUUGUAGUUUAGACUAUUCGUUUGUAUUCCAAAAAUAAUAAUUAUGAAUAGAAGGGUGGUGGACCGAUAUGGCCCAACCUUAUGUACAAUGAUCUUCAAAUAUAAUCAUGGGAACAAAAUGAACAAUUUUUCUAAUCAUACAAAUAACAAAAGAGAUGUAUAAAUAAAGCUCAUCAUCCAUAUAGUGCAAGGGCUUUAAUAUGUACUAAGGUAAACAGAAACUUUGUAUAAAUUAUUGGAAUUUGUUUCUCAGUGUUGCAGAGAUCUCUACACCUUUUCUUCUUUACUCUGCACACUGCAUAUUUUUACCGCUACUUACCCUCUUCUUCAACUAAAGCAAACUAUAUCUCAGUCACUUCUAAAAACCCACAAGCCCUCUAGGGCCUCUUACUUGCUGCAUCCUCUGUGAUUACAUUCUUUUUUUAAAAAAAGUAAAUUUAAAGGGCUUAAAAACCUGUCACAUAUUAGCUUUUGUGUCUUUUCUUCUUUGCAAUCUCCUCCACCCAGUGUAACAUGGGGAAGAACAGUAUCUCUUCUACUGUUUCUCUCUUCUUCAGUUGGUAUGAACUCUACUUAGCUGACAGACCAAUGAAGUUGAGGUAAAAUAAAAUGAAAAUAGAAGAAUAUGAAGGUCCUGUUGUAUCGAAACCACGAAUUAGUCUUAUUCUAGGAAUCCGGUGCUCUACCUCUCUAUAAUUACGGUUUGUUUGAAUCCCUACAUAACUGUUGAUAUGCCACUCACUAUAGGAGACGCAAAUGGGCUCUCUGGAAGGUUAAUUCCUUGGCUGCUGCAUGGUAUAAGAAACCAAGCAUCAAAGAAAUGGGAAGGUUAAGAAAAUAACCCAGAUGAAAAAAAUUGGUAAAAGUACUAUGACUUCAAUCUGAACAAGCAUUUGUGGUAUACCUAUCCUGGUCAUUGUAAUUACUGUUUCUGUGCCUGAUUUUGCCCUCACUGGUGGAACCAUUAUUCAAAACAUCCAGCAAAUAAGUAAAUUCCUUUGCAGAUGGGACUUCUGCUUGCUCUGCAUGGGCUACAGUGACAUCAGGGAAAAACAUUAGCUAGGAAAUCGUUGAAAGGAAACAAGAAAAAAGCUACGCAAAAGAAACCGAAAAGUUGCAUUGUAUACCUUCUGGAUGUUUGAACUCAUCCAUAGGGUAGCCAUAAUAGAAAUGAUGGGACAAGGGCUUAGCUGCUAAGUGCAUCUCCGAAAGACGCCUUCUUUCAAGUUCGAGUGCUUGCUCAUUUUCCUCCAUGAACUGCUUCCUUAAAAAUCUUGCAUUCUCACAAACUCUGGGCACUGUAAAUCAGAGAAAUAAAUGUGAAUUAGGUAAAGGUGAUUUUACGACCCAAAAAGGCUAAAAUAGAUCAUUACUGCAUUUAUCUGAAAUUUGCUUACUAGAGUGAAACUCUGAAUCCGCAUCAAUGAAAUGUGAAUUGUAGCACAUAGCAUGCUGCAUUUUCUCUGAAAACUUCCUGGAUGGAUAGCUUAAACUUCAGAAAUUUAAAUACUAGUUGAAAAUCAUAGAGGAGAUGGAAUGGAAAACAUAAUGUUCUUCUCAGAUAAUAAAUAAGAGAAUUUUCAGUUUUAUUGAUAUCAAAGGUUCUUCUCAGAUGUUUUCAGAAACAUUUCCAAAAGAUUCAUAAGCAGGAAACUAGGAAAGGGAUAUCCACCCUACUCUCUACAAAUACGACUUUCUUCAUACCAUAAUGUCAUAACAUGCAGUCAUGUCAGUUCUAGAAGGAGAUUAAGGGAAAACACAAGGAAAAACAAUCCUCUAAAGCAGACUAAUAUUAAAUGGAAGCAAGAAUCAACGUUCAACAACCGACAAUAAGUAUUCUAGGAUGUUGACAAAGGUAUGAACAUCAUACUAAUUAAUUCUAGUGGACAGCAUUACUCCAUUUAGAGAACAAAUUUUAUGUUAUAUGUGCUUUUAGUUAAUAUUAUAAGGUAAAGGCCUUUCCUCAUUUGAACUGCCAACGACAAUAAGGGUGCUAUGAUGGUAGGAAAAAAAAAUAGUGGGAAAUAUCAGACAAUAACUAUUUGCUUAUGAACCAGAUAGUAUUAAAAAGAAAAGGGUCGAGAAAGAAAAAUACUGCUCAAAUCUAAGCACAAUAAAGAUGAUAAGGUUACUUCAACUUUGAACAAAUAGAAAAGUUUUACCUGUCAACAAGCCUAGACUUUUCCCUGUAAGGCUUCACCAGAACACGGGCCCCACAUACAAAAUGGGGAUUCCCUUUUGACAAAAUAUGCCUGACCGUCUCUGCAUAAACAAAGGUGACAAACCCAAACAUCCUCUUCUGUUGACAUGGGAUGCGUACAUCUUGAACCGGCCCAUAUUUGCUACAAAAUAAUGAUCAAAAAAUCAAAAUUGUGUAGACCAAGAGUCAAAGUAUAAGCAAAGUGUAAGCAAAUUCAAAUAAGAGAUAAAUGACUCCAAUAACAGUUCCUUAUGAAAAGAAAAAAGAAAUGCCUUAAACAUCCUUACUUGAAGUAGUUGGAAACAUCUUGCUCCGUGAAAUUACUCUCAGCUGGAAAAGUAAGAUAAAUCUGUCGAGAACCAGCAAUAAUUCCACCAGGUUCAGUUUUCUCACCAGCAUACUCUAAGUAUUUUGGGAUAUCUUCUGCCAAUAUGACUGAGUGCUGUCCAUGAGGCCUGUAUAACAACUCAAGUCAAGCGCUUCUAGCAAGCAACAUAUGAUGCAUAAAAACCUUUAGCAAUUAACAAAGAGUUACCUGUCAAGGAGUCGAAUACUGUUCUUCAAUCGAGCAAGAAGCUUUGUAAGGCUAUAGCCAGCCUUACCAUGUCUCUGGCUCUCUGUAAGGUAUCCCUCAGCCUGUAAAGUCCUCCCAUAUUUCUCAUAAUACAUCAUUGGCAAUGAGGCAAUUGAUAUUGGGAACCCUCUUCUUGAUUUCAAAAGCUCAAUUAUUUCAAUCUCCAGCUUUUCAAGGGAGCCAGGAGAGACAACAUGAUCAUCAUUUGAAAGCUCAUUCAAAUUCGGGUGAGAAAAGCUCUCUGCCAUGGGAUGGCCAUGGAAGUACCUGCAGUUGCUCCCAUGCUUACAGAACCCCUUAUUGAAGUAAUGGCAAACCUUAAGAGGAAACUCAGGCAAACUUGGAGACCUUCGACUAGUUCUCACACUCAAUGCAGGUUCAUGAUAGCAGUAAUUGCUUGAAAAGUCGGGCAAAAACUGCAUCUGAUUUUGGAGGCGAUAAUCUUCAAUAGCUGAAUCAGAGUACCCUGGUGGAACAAAUUCUACAUUUUGCAGUGGUUGCUGAUCACCAGGCAGUUGGGGAUCCCUAAAUGGAUUCACUGCUCCGAGAGGUGUGGGAGAUGAAAUUGGUCGAGUUAAAUUAGGAGUGUAUGGAGUGAAUUGUAAAGGCGGGUCUGAAACAGGAACUUGGUUCACCUGAGAAGGUGAGAUUGGAGCAGACACUGCCAGUUUGCAUAACCCAAGCUCAGUUUUUGCUUUGUUAAUCAAAGACUGGAUCAAAUUAUCAGGGCUGAACGCCAGUCGAAUCAUGUCACGCUCACCAUGGUCUUGCAACAGAAGAUACCCUAUAAUCUUAGACACAUUUUCAGGCUCUAUUUUCUGGAUCCUAUUGUACACUACUUUUGUGGACUCAGAAAAAUCCAUCUCAGAUUGCAGCCCUGCAGAAGACAAGUACAUUCAAAGGUACACAUUAUUAUAAAAGGUAGGAAUAGCAAUGCAAAUUAACACUUAUAGAAAGUUAGUUGUUAAUCCAACUAUGUUCCAGAAAACAUUAAUAUGGUGGAAGAUAUUAAUUUCUUUCUCAACAACCAGAAAAUUAUGUGGAUCUAGUGAUAAACAAACCCAUGAGUAAAUUCAUAUAAUCUUCAAGCAGCAAUGCUAUUUCUGGUAUAUAAACAAAGCCUAUUUAAAAGACUACCAAAUAAAUGAAAACAAAAUUGGGGGGAGAACACCAAAAAGGAAACCUUGUUGGUUCAUGCAUAAUCAAUUUCUGUAUCUGCUCCUCCUACUGAAACAAGUUGCAGGCAAAAUUUAAAGUUGAAAUUUUCAAACAAAAGUGGCAGAUGGAUAUAACCAAACAAAAGCAGCAAAAUCAUUACCACAAAAACAGAAGCAUCAACGCCAUAAGGAAAAGGGAUUCAGCAGAAAAAGAGACAUUUAUUUCUCUAAUUAGCAGCAUCAUAUUAACCUACUUUAAUAAAAAUUUUAAAUUUUAAAUAAAUAAAUAAAAGCAAAAGGAGGAGAAGGCGUUAACUUUUGGGGGAAAAACAAAAAACAUAAAACAGUGCUUCUGAAUUAUUUUCCGAUUUGAAGGACAAGUGAAACAUGGAAGGCAUCUUCUUCCAUAGGAAACAGUAAGAAGAACAUACUGUCAAUACACAGUCACAUAAAAUAUGUUCAAAUGCUUGCCAGCCAGAAGGGAACCAAAACAUUUUAAUUUUGUCCUUAUAAGAAAAAAGAAAAAAGCCUUUUCAUUUCUUAAAUACAAGAAACGAUUACAGAACUCAAGGGAAAACCAACAUCUUUUGAAAAACACAACCAUUUACCCACAACAUUUUCCUGAACAAACACUAGUCCAGGAUCAAGAAAUUAGGAAUAAAAUGAAGAAAAGAGCAAAAAGAACAGAGAGAGAGAGAGAGACAGAGAGAAAGAGAGAGAACUAGUUCUCAGAAGUUGAAGCAAGAGAGACAAAAACACAGGAUUUAAGUUGCUAGCUAUUUUUUUUAUUUCUUUUAUCACAGAUAUGGAACAUCUCUAGAAAUACCCAAGUCAAAAGACCAAAACUUUGGCCAUAAUUGAGCAUCAAAAUGAAGCAAAAACAACAUGAAAUGGCAGCAUGGAACCAUUAAUGAGAAAAGAUCUGACAUACCCACCAAAUCUUUUAAGAGCCUCAAUAUGAAACAAAGUCAAAGGAACCAAUCCAAGGCCCAAAGCUACUCCACAACCAUGAUUGAUUGCUCACUCUCGUCCUCCCUCUGCCUCUCUCUCCUCCCUCUUUCUGUGUUCUUCGCUAUUUUUAUCUUCUUCUCCUAUUAUAUUCCAAUUCUCUGAACCAGAAAGGACACAUUCUUAACGAAAAGCAAAAUGACAGAAAGGAUAGAGCUUUAGGGGGAGGGCGCCUUGUCUUUAGUUCAAAUCAACACACACUUACAAAUAUAUACAAACCACCCUCUCAUCUUCCUCUCCUAAAAAAUCACAUGAAAAAUUACAAAUUCUUUUUUUUCCUUUUCAAUUGAAACUGAAUUGUUAUUAUUUUUAAAUUAAAAUAAUUAAUAACAUUAAAAAGCACACCACUCUGUCUCUCUCUACACUCUCUCUCACUGCUUGUUGUCACUCUUAUCCUAAUGUGUCCCGGUUUCUCUGUUUUGCUGACUUGUAUAAAUUAAAUAUUAUUAUAUUCAUUUCAAAAAUUACAGGGUGUAGUCUUACUUGUCGUUACAGAAAUUUGCGGGAAUUUAUGGAAAAUUAGCCUGGAUUUUCGAAACAGCCUCCAACUAAAAUUCCCAAUUUCUCCUCCACCUAUUUUGAAAUGGUCCUUCCCUUCCAGUUAUCUUCUUUUUUUGUUUUCUUAACAAAUUUAUUUAUUUUUUAUAAUAAAAAUAUAUGAGAAUACAUAUAUUUCGGAAAUACCUAUGUGUCCUGUGUGGGUUCAGCCUGUCUUGUUGUCUUGUCUAUACAGUAGGUGGCUGACGUGCAGUGGUCGAUGGGCCCACACGGGCAGGUUGAGCGGUUUGGAUUUCAUCUUCACGUUGGGGUUUGGGGUGCGAAAAUAUAAUCUGCCAUCUGCAUGCUCGACACGUGGCAGGUUGCAGCGAGGUACAGUUUGUUUUCCUUUUUUUUUUUGUGGAUAAAAAUAACUGUGGUGCACUUUAGGUUAUUAAAGUUAACGUGGGACCUACGUCGUCAUCAUCCGUACCCACCAAUCCUAGUUGGCGGUCUGUGGGUCCCCGAUUUAAAGGGCUCAGUUCACUACUCCGUGAUUGGUGGUUGCAUUUUUCCCUUUUCUUUUUCUUUAAAAAAUACAAAUAAUAAUGAAUUCGUAGUUGUACUUUGUAUUAGUAGAUGAUUAGCUUCGUAUUUUAAUGAGCACAAAACACAAUUUGUAUUUUUUUAUUUCACGUUGGUUUUUAAAAAAAAUAAAAGAAAAAACAUGUGCACCACUUAGGAGGUGUAAUAUACUAGAAUAUAUUGAUGAAAAUUAGGAAAAAAUAAAAAAAUAAGUUCGGUAAUAAAAUAAAGGGUAGGGGUAAUUUAGGGACAAAAUAUUUUGUUGAUCGCUUCGUAGUGACCUAUUCAAAAGGAAAAUACACGUGAACAAAUUUAACAAAUGUGAUACUGUGAAUCUAAUCUAGAUUCACAAAUUGAGAAAUGCUUGGGAGGUUAUUUUUCUCCGGUAGAAGAGGAGCUUUCUGUCGAUUAAGUCACCUAAUUGAGUUUUUAGUAAUCUGGUUAUUCUAUUUCAAAAUACUAUUUAUAUUUUAGAACAUUCCACUAUAUGAUGUCAUAAUUACUGACGAUAUGUGAAUCGAGAGAGCAGAAACACAGUCAGUUGAUCAAAACAAUGUGUCAAAUUCACUUCUCUAUAACUUAGAGUAGUUUAAAAUAUUAUAGCCGCUUGACUAUAAUAAUAAUAAAGAUUAAGAAUAAGAUUUUAAUUUAUGGAAGGGAAGAUGAUGAGUACAUUUGUGACCAAGUACUAUGAUUGAGGAAUGUGAUAUAGACACCCUUGUCAUUAUCAACCAACAUAAAUAAAUGAAACGAAGCUGACGUCCCUCUGGCUUUAUUCGGCACUUGUUCUAAUCCAAAUCCAAUAAAUCCCAAUUAAAUAAUUUUUAGAUCAUGGGCAUCUUGAUUAUUUAAAGUCUACAACGUACUUAUUAGCCUUAAUGUUACAAUUACAUAAAUAAUUAUACCAACACGACAACACCAUAAUCCACCUACUUAUAAUACUUUUUGGUUUUAUGUGAGGCACGUAUUUUAUCACCCAAGUUAUAAAUUCAAACAUAUUUGAAUCGUAAAAUAAGUCUACGAUUGCCAACGGGGUUUAGGCUAGUGAAAAAAGACUUUGACAUGCAAAUUAGUGGUUUCAUGUUUAAACCCUGAUAGUACGUUGAUAGUGUGUAUGUGAAAACCUCUCUCUCCUUAUAGUUUAGACUAUCGCUUUUAUUAAAAAGAAAAACAAGUCUAUGAUUUAUUUAUUAUUUUCACCUGGUAUUCUAUAAAAGUUAGGGAGAAAUUUUGUACAAAAAUUAAAAAGCAAAAAGAGAAAGGGAAAGACGCAAAAAUUAUAGUUUCUUCACAUGCGUUCAACUAAUCAUCUCUAGCUUCUUCUUUUUUCCAGGCAACAUGUGGUUCACAAAUACAACACAGGGGGGGCAAAAAGGGUGUUGAAAGUUAUGCAGGGAAAAAGGAAAAAUUUGGCCCACUUUUUCAUCAGAUCACAAACAAAAACAACUAUCAUCUAUCUGUAUCUUCCACUCAACUUGAUCAACCCUAGCUAGAACUUUACUGUGUUCCAUAUAUGUGGCGGCUGAGCUUGAUGGUUUUGGCUUGUUAGCCAUGGCAUGGCCCCAUUGGUAACAUCAAGCAAUUGAGUGGCAGCCCUGGAGAUUUAGAGGGCAACCUUAUCAGGAUGCUGCAAGGUUUGAACACACAUAAAAAUCCAUUUUUACAAUUGAUGUUACCAUCUGAUCUGGAUAUGGUUUUGCCAUCUUAUCUGGAUAUGAUUUUGUUGUAGCAUAUUUGGUUUGUGGUAGUGUAAGGUGUGACAACUUUGAACAAGAUAGAAAACGAAACAUGUUCGUGAUUUGUAAAACAGAACACUCUUGUUGUUUGUGAAAAAAGAGAAAAUGAAAAAAUCAACCCGAAUUAUCAUGUUCGGAUAUGGUACGUGUGAUUUUGUUGUAAAAUGUUUAGUUGUCGAGAAAACACAACGAGAACACGAGUUGAAAUAUAACGAGUUUUAAGUUGUGAAUAAGAAGAAGGUACAUCAAUAACUUUUAACCAACUCUAUGCAUGGCUCUAACAAAUUGUUGACCUAGUGUCGGGCUUCUUGGUCAAAUGCAAGCAAUCACAUGAGUCUACUAAUAGGGCAAGGCCCACACCAUGUGCAUGUGAUGCUGGGUCAAUAAAACCCAAUCAUAUCCCAUGCAGGGCUUCAAUCAUUUUCUAAACUCUUUUUAGGACAAUUUCAUGCACUUUAUUUUAUUUUAUUUCUGUUUUUUAACCUUAAGAAAAAUUGUAAUAAGAAAAAUUGUACAUGCUAAACUUAUGUUUCAAUAGAAGAAGAAAAAAACAGAUGGAGAGAGGAAAAUUGAACUCGGAGCGUGAUGUAAGAUACAUCUUUAAAUUCUCGCAUCACAAAUGAAAUUUAGGGUCUGUUUAAGAGUGCUUCUGGAAUGGCUAAAAACGCUUUCUGAUAAUUAAAAGCGCUUUUAACAACGUUUGGCAAAAAAAUUUAGAAGCGCUUAUGGGUCAUAGAAAUACUUUUCCACGAAGCACUUUAAUUUUUUAAGAAAAUUCAAGAUUUUUAUAAUAAAAACGCUUUUAUUAGAAGCACUGAGCAGAAGCACUUUUUAAAAAAACAAUCUCAAACAAACCCUUAAUAUCGUUCAUAAGAUAUGAAAUUGCGACUUUCUCCAACAAACUGAAGACUUAAUUUUUUUUGCCCCUUACUACAUGUGUGAAAAUAGAGUAGAAGAUUGGGCCUUCAAAGAUAUGUAUCGCAUGAAAGCCCAAUAACUGAGAUUGCAAAAGAUCAACUGAUCAAGUGACAAAUUGUAAAUUCAUUUUUACCCUAGAUAAAAACAAACUUCGACCGUAAAAACGAAGAGAAAAACGAAACUGUUUUAAGUUCCAGAAGUUUCCUAAAAAAGGUAGCUUAUUGAAGGAUCUCUGCAUUUUCCUGCUUUUUUUAUUUUAAAAUCUCAACCAUUCAAGUAAUCCAACAGCUUAAAGUAGUCCACAUCAGCAAAGAAUCAGAACUUCGCUCCUCGACUGCCAUGAAACGACAUCGUUUAUAGGUUUCUGGCUUAUUCCGGAUCCGGAAUACCGUUUUGGCUGUAAUCAUUCUUCUGCAACUGCCGUGGAACCCGACCCGAUUAUCAGAGAAAAGGAGGAAGACGAUUUUCAGAAAGAGAGAAAGGAAAUGGCUUUCUGGGGUUUUGACGCCAAGUAGUUGGCUUUGGCCGUCGAUCUCAGCCCUUGAAAAUUGAAAUCAGAGCCGCCCGAUCUGCGAGGUUAUCAAUUACUGGUAAAGAAGAGAGUUCGCAAUGUACCAGUGGAGGAAAUUCGAGUUCUUUGAGAAGAAAUUGGCGGGAAAGUGCUCGAUCCCCGAGGAAGUCAGCGGAAGGAUCGAGUGUUGCUCGAGCGGCAGAGGGAAGGUGGUGAUCGGUUGCGACGACGGCACCGUGAGCUUCCUCGACCGCGGCCUCAACUUCAGUUAUGGCUUUCAAGCUCACUCCUCCUCCGUACUCUUCCUUCAGCAGCUCAAGGUGAGCCUCCAUUUACAACAUUUUAUCUUGAUUUAGUGAUUUUGUAUUUGGUUCUCCGGAAAGUUUGGAAAACAGAAAAAGAAGGAUUUGGGAAAUUUUGGGACUUUGGAACUUUGAUUUCUGGAUGUUAGGUUUAGUUUCAUUUUUUCAGUAAUUGUUUAGGAGAUGACACGUUUGUUGAUUUUCUCCUGUUAUUAUUAAAUCAGCAACGCAACUAUUUGGUGACAAUCGGAGAAGAUGAACAAAUUACUCCGCAGCAAUCGGCAAUGUGCCUUAAGGUUUUCGACCUGGAUAGAAUGCAGUCGGAGGGCACGAGCUCGAGCUCAACGAGCCCUGAUUGCAUUGGGAUCUUGAGGAUAUUCACCAACCAAUUUCCUGAAGCAAAGGUAGUGCAUGUGCCCAAUUAUUGGAAUUUGUGAAACAUUGAAUUCGAUUGAAACAAUAGGGUUUUGAGUCUAGUUUUGGCUUAUUACUGCAGAUUACGUCGUUUCUAGUACUAGAGGAAGCACCUCCAAUACUGCUUAUAGCUAUUGGCUUAGAUAAUGGUUGCAUUUACUGCAUUAAAGGGGAUAUUGCGCGAGAACGUAUCACCAGGUUCAAGCUUGAGGUUGAUAACCUCUCUGACAAGAGCCAGUCCUCGGUGACGGGACUGGGGUUCAGAGUGGAUGGUCAGGCCCUUCAGUUGUUUGCCGUGACUCCAUCUUCUGUGAGCUUGUUCAUCUUGCAGAAUAAAACUUCAAGGGGGCAAACCCUAGAUCAGAUUGGAAGUAAUGCCAACAGUGUUGCCAUGAGUGAUCGCUCGGUAUGCAAUCCAGCCUCAUCUUCGUUGGUGUAUUUUCAUGCAUAUCUUAGCAUUUUAUUUAUGUAUAUAUUUUGAUCAGGAGUUGAUAAUUGGUCGACCUGAGGCUGUGUAUUUUUAUGAAGUUGAUGGGCGAGGCCCUUGUUGGGCUUUUGAAGGACAAAAGAAAUUUUUGGGGUGGUUUCGUGGAUACCUUCUGUGUGUUAUUGCAGAUCAAAGAAAUGGCAACGAUACUUUCAACAUUUAUGACCUGAAGAACCGUCUAAUUGCCCACAGCCUAGUGGUUAAAGAGGUUUCUCACAUGCUUUGUGAAUGGGGUAACAUAAUACUUAUAAUGGCUGACAAGUCAGCUUUGUGCAUCGGGGAGAAGGAUAUGGAGAGCAAGUUAGAUAUGCUCUUUAAGAAGAAUCUUUAUACUGUUGCCAUCAACCUUGUUCAGAGUCAGCAAGCGGAUGCUGCCGCAACUGCAGAAGUGCUAAGAAAGUAUGGGGAUCAUCUGUAUAGCAAGCAAGAUUAUGAUGAGGCAAUGGCUCAGUACAUCCAUACCAUUGGUCACCUUGAGCCUUCUUAUGUGAUACAGAAGUUUCUAGAUGCACAAAGAAUCUACAACCUUACAAAUUACUUGGAAAAAUUGCAUGAGAAGGGGCUUGCUUCUAAAGAUCAUACCACUCUUCUACUGAAUUGCUACACCAAAUUGAAAGAUGUUGACAAGCUGAAUGUGUUUAUUAAAAGCGAGGAUGGUGUUGGAGAACAUAAGUUUGAUGUGGAGACUGCAAUAAGAGUCUGCCGUGCGACCAACUACCAUGAGCAUGCAAUGUAUGUUGCUAAAAAGGCAGGGAAGCACGAAUGGUACUUAAAGAUCUUACUUGAAGACCUUGGCCGAUAUGAGGAAGCCUUGCAAUAUAUUUCAAGCCUUGAACCAAGCCAAGCUGGAGUGACAGUGAAAGAGUAUGGUAAGAUUCUCGUAGAGCACAAGCCUGUGGAGACAAUUGAGAUACUUAUGAGGCUGUGCACUGAAGAUGGAGAAUCAGGCAAGAGAGGAGCCUCUAAUGUUGCAUACUUAAAUAUGUUGCCAUCUCCUGUUGAUUUUCUUAACAUCUUCAUCCAUCAUUUGCCGUCGCUUAUGGAUUUUCUUGAAAAGUAUACCAACAAGGUGAAGGACUCUCCUGCUCAAGUAGAAAUCCAUAACACACUCUUGGAGUUGUACUUGUCCAAUGACUUGAGCUUCUCAUCAAUAUCACAAGCUAGCAAUGGUGAAGAUCUAAAUCUCAGGGCUAGAUCAGGUGCAACAGCAACAUCAAGAUCAGGGUCCAAUGGGAAAUUUAUUGCUGAUGGCAAAGAUUCAAAUAAGGAAAAGGACCGUGUGGAAAAGCAAGAGAAAGGGCUACGACUGCUUAAGAGUGCAUGGCCAUCUGAGCUGGAACAUCCACUUUAUGAUGUUGAUCUUGCCAUAAUCCUUUGUGAAAUGAAUGAAUUUAAGGAAGGCCUUCUCUAUCUAUAUGAAAAAAUGAAACUCUAUAAAGAGGUGAUUGCUUGCUACAUGCAAGUUCAUGAUCAUGAGGGUUUGAUUGCAUGCUGCAAACGACUAGGGGAUUCAGGUAAGGGUGGGGACCCAAGUCUGUGGGCAGAUCUGCUAAAAUAUUUUGGUGAACUUGGAGAAGAUUGCUCCAAGGAAGUGAAGGAAGUUUUGACAUAUAUAGAAAGGGAUGACAUCUUGCCUCCUAUUAUUGUUCUUCAAACACUGUCCAGAAAUCCAUGUCUCACACUCUCUGUCAUUAAGGAUUACAUUGCUCGAAAGCUUGAACAAGAAUCAAAGUUGAUCGAAGAGGACCGUCGAGCUAUUGACAAGUAUCAGGUUAGUGCUUAUUUUUUGCAGCUGUCAUUGUUAACUUGUUUAUUAUACCUCUUCUUUCAUUUCACUGGCCUCCAGUAAAAGUUGGUUAACAUUCUUUGUUCCUUCUUGAAGUCUUCCUUGGAAACUUUUGUAAUGACAUGAUUGUGAUCUUGUCAAAGUAGAAUGUAUCAAAUAAGUUUGCAUGACUAUCUAGUUAGGUUUAAAAUGGCAUGAACAAUAAGGAAUAAAAAAAAAAAAAAAAAAAAAACUGAAGUGUUUCAAAUAGCUAUGAGAUAAGUGCAUCACGGAAAAAAUAAAAUCUAGGGAUCAUCUUCAGGGUUCUUGGAUAGGGUUACUUUGAACUGACUUCUAUUUUUUGUUUUGUUUUUGUUAGACAUUGAACUGAAAAUCUACAUUUUGGACAAUUCAACAUUUUCUUGACCAGUGAAAGUGUUUCUUUGAAAGAAAUUGGCAUAUUAUUUAGCAAGUGAGAAAAUAAUCCAAAUAACUUUAACAAACACUUCAGUCUAAACAAGGGAAAUGAUCAGGCCUGUUUGGCAUGUCAUAGUUCUUUUAUCUAUAUUACAUGAGUAGGUGAAGCUGAGUCUUUCUCAUGAAAGAUAUCUCCAGCUAAAGUAAUCAAUACGGGACAGGCAUGAUGGUACUCUUCCUGAUUUCUGAUGAGAAUAUACAUUUGUGUGUGUGUGUAUUGGACCAAAAAUAAAUCAUCUGCAAAAAAAAAAAAACAAAAAAACAAAAAAACACUUAACACCAUUUUAGGUUUCAAUUCAAACUAUUGUGUGGUUGUUUCGUGUGUGCAUGUGUGAGAGAUUAUCUAAUGAACCCUUUAAUUCUUCAGGAAACCACAUCGGCAAUGAGAAAAGAAAUUCAGGAUCUUAGGACAAAUGCUAGAAUUUUUCAGCUCAGCAAGUGCACUGCAUGUACUUUCACUCUUGAUCUCCCAGCUGUGCAUUUUAUGUGUAUCCACUCAUUCCAUCAGCGAUGCCUCGGCGAUAAUGAGAAAGAAUGUCCUGUAUGUGCUCCGGAAUACAAAUCUGUGCUAGAAACGAAAAGAAGUUUAGAGCAGAACUCCAAAGAUCAGGAUCGGUUCUUCCAGCAAGUUAAAAGUUCGAAGGAUGGUUUUUCUGUGAUCGCUGAUUAUUUUGGGAAGGGGGUCAUUAGCAAAACCAGUAGUGGACCCACAGGUGGUUCUUGAUCAGCAGCAGUUCUUUCAGCUGUGGCGUAUGAGGUUUGUUAACUGUGUUCAGAAUACUCAACAGCGCAAACCAUGCCCUUGUGGGCUUGGAAUUUUGGAGAUAUCGAAGGUUGAGCAACUUUGGAUUUCCUUCCUUUAGUGGCAUUGGAUGACUGGGCUUCUUCUUAUUGUUUUGUUUCCCGAAAUUUGGAGGAGUGAAAUCUUUUGUAUUUUUUUUUUUUGGCAGAUCAAAAUGGUAUAUCCUGAAACAGUUUUGCGGAUCUGCAUUAAUUCGAAAAAUAAACUGAAAUUUGUGAGUAAAAGGCAUUGUUAUAUAACUUAAUGUUCCCAUUUCUCACUUUCUAGCAGCUUUGGAAAACACCCUUAUCAUGUAUCAGCUGGCCACAUCACAACUACUGAGUUGUUUAGAUUUUCCUUAACUCGUUUUUUUUACUAAUUACUCGUCCUUCAAUAAAAAUUCUAUCGCCCUUCUCUCCACACAAAAAAAAAAAUAAAAAAAAAAUCAAUUUUUCUACCUCACUAACCAAAAUUAGCAUCGGGGAAAAAUUACCGAAUUAUCAGCCUUUAAUUUCAACUCGAAUUAAAUUCUAGUUAUUAUUUCAAUUUGCCAAACUGUAAAGCUACAUAGUUGAUGGAACUGUGGAAUGUGAUGUUUACUAUUCAGGUGACCUAGGAUGUUACAGUUGUUGACAACUUGUAAUCAUUAUAUAUCCGUAGCAUACGCAUCCAUUCUAUCCAUUUGUUUGACUGGCCCAGAUUGGAAGGUACACGGUAGCUUAUGGAAUCAGUUGGUAGUUAAAUUCUUCCAAAGGGGAGAAUCCUAGGCCCCUAACAAUAAUUUUCAAGCUUAACCUACUCCUUUGAAUGUGGCCCUUGUCUAUAUAUUAUCUGAGAAUAAAUAUUUUGGUACCCUCAGUCGGUCAUAAGUUAAAUCUGAAUGUUUAUGUUUUAUGAGCUUUACAUGCAUAAAAUAAGAGUUAAUUCAAUUGUUCGUACAUGCAUUGUGAACUUCAUAUGCAUCAAUAAUUAGAAAUUUUCCACGUCGACAACUCGUAAUAAAGAAGUCUUUAUUGCUUGAACAAAUAAUGAUUCUAGUGUAAAUAAUUAGUGAGAAGUGCUUUUUGAUUGAUGAUAUGCAUGAAAAUAUAUCACAUUGGUACUUUUCAUUGUUUGAGAAGUCACUACGAUAAGUCCCAUCUGUAUAAUCUGUUGAAAAGGUCAUAUUUUUUAUCAUGUUCGAUGAUGGCUCAUGUUUUGCAGUUGUCCUAUCAAUAGUAGUCUGUGGUAGACCAUUGCUGUCGGCGCGUACCCAACCUACCAUGUUGGUUCAAGCAAGGUUUGUGCAAUUUAUUAGCAAUUCUCCACCACCCCACAGUGCUUGGGACAAUCGCCAUGAGAGCGUGCUAGACUCUCAACCGUUAAUGCAUUGGAAUGGAAGUCAUCCGUGUUGAAUUGGCGAUGAUAAAAUAAAUAUCUAACUUGGAUGUAAACAAGCACAAGAAAACCCUUUUCGACCGAAAAAAAAACACUCUGAACCCUAGACAUCCCACCCAUGCUCACCCUUUUCAGCUCGAUGGUAUAACACCACCCAAAAAGGCCAAGUCCGGAUUCAGGCCCUCGCCUCAGCAAAUAUUAAACAAUGGUAUUAUAAUGCUAGUCCACAUCCAACUGAGCACUACACCAAAUCUCUCGACAUCCCCUCUUUGGUUAUGCAGAGACAGCCGAAUCAAAUCAUGUUAUCUUCGUCUUCCCUGUCUCUCAUCUAACCCUACAUUUAUUAAUGGCAACUUAUAAUGGGGGUUCCAACAACUGCUUAAACAAUUAUAAGCAGCUUCCCCGACACCUAAAUGCAGAGGCCUGUGACAACAUCAACUCAAGGAUGCUCCUUUAGUUACAUUCCGUGAACCUUGAUUACCACCAACUUCCAAGAUCUAAAAAGAGGUAAUUUGACUACUUGAGUUUGAAGAUAAAUUGACUUUAUCUAUAAACUUCCAAUCGAAUACAGACAUUAUACAAAUAAUGUGUUAAUUAUAAACACUCAGAGAAGUAGAAGCCAAAUUGUCAAUUUCUACAUUUCCAGAAUUUUGUGAUCAUCAAACCAGUGAAACUGACCCAAACACUAACAAUCGAACUCAAAGAUCAAAAUCAUUACUUUAAGGGGAAACAGUAACUUUAUAAACAUGGGCUGGAUGAUCUGCAACAAGAACUUGAUUGCCUCAUCAUGGUUCUCAAAGUAAACAAACAUAUAAAGAUCAAAAGACCAGCGAUAGAUACAUUAAAGGCUAUAUAAAAACAGAGUUCUCCAAAGAAGAACGAACAUGUAAUUUGACAGACUCGAGAGAAAAAAAAGAAAGGAAAAAAGUACUUUCCUACUCUGUUCUCUAGGCAAAAAAAAGAAAAAGAAAUAAAGAAAAUAUAUGUAGGUACAUAUAAGAUCAUCCUUUAUGGUUCCAGCUUCAAGGAAACAACCCGUGAUUGUCUGUUACGCUUUGCCACCUUGACAAAUACUACUGAGAGGCAAGAUGGAGCCCACCAUGGCCUGCGGACCUUUUGCUCCCCUUUCAGGCAAGCCACUGGACAUAAACUUGGUUUUAGCACACACACAGAUGGUAUCUAAAUGCAAUUCAAAUUUCAGAGGAAAAAGGCAUAUAUAUGUAGCUCAAGGGAAAUAUGAUUCCAGAAAGGUUUAAAUUCUCAGCUUGCUAGGAUAGAUAAUGAGAUCAAGAGAGAGUUUCACAAUGCUAUUGAAUGAGGCAUAAGAACGGUUUCUUAGUGUCAGCGUGCUAUGCUAUCAGUAGACAUUUGAGUGCAUGAAAUGAAUGGAUCAUGCAUGGCCAGUCUAUCUCACCAAUCCAUAUACUCUACAAAAACUCUCUUUUCUGUUUUACUUUUGGAAUAAUUAUAUUUUCCAAUAAUCAAAUGUCAUAUGUACCUGUGCAUAGAAAAUGCAACAGUAAGAUAAUCACAACCCUUAUUCAAAUCUAUUUAUCCAAUAACUCCAGAGACUAAAUGAAAUUUUUGAUAUAAGAACGAACACAAAGACAUUUUUUUCACAGCAUGAUAAAGACUGCUAGGAAAAUUUCUAGGCUACAGACCUUUAAUUCGCCUUAGUUCCUUACACAGCGUGAUAAAGUCUCCCCAUUUCAUGUGGCACCGUCUUAUAAACCGAAGAAUCUGCUCAGUAGUAAACAUUGACAUGCCUUCCAGGUAUUCUCCAUUGACUCCAUUUUCCUUAAAAGUUUGCCGGUAACUGCCGAGGUUUAUCUCUUCCAACCACAAACCGACAUCCUGUACGAAAGGGGAAAAUAAACAUGAGAAUACAUGUGGGUGAGCCAUGUAUCUUUAUAUUCGUUUUAUUAUAUAUGGCCAAAAAAUAUGUACAUGAGGCCUUCAUCAGGGCACAUGAUAAACUCAGGCUAUUAUUAAGUCACUGUUAUAAUAUAACAGUCCCUCCAACCCAAAAAUAAAAAUAAAAAAAACAAUAUUCACCCAAAUUUUUGUUCAGGACAACCUUAAACUUAGGGCAAUUUAAACUCUUUCUUUUGAGAUUAUCCGACUAGAGUUCAUCCAUAUCAAACGGCAUUACUUCACAUGGCAAAGAAAUGUUUUUGUCUGUAACUUGGCUGUGUUUAAUUUUAAUAUCAAUAAUCCCCUUUAGUCACAAAAUAUCUGUUCCCAGAGGUAAUCCUAAGAUUCCUAAGACCAAUAGUAAUGUGUUUGUCUCUUUAUUUUCACUGUAACGUACUUACUCAUAGCUACUAAUAGUUAGGUGGAGGCAUCUUUAGCACAACUUCAGAGUCAAAGACCACAUUCAAGCUUUAGCUCAUAGUUUUGUUCACUUGUGAAGUUGUUAAAAAAAAAAUUAUAAUCCAUUCAUCAUUCUAUGGACAGGGAAACAAUUUCCACACCCCAAGAUGAGGAGGGUCCUGACCAAGGGAAUAGCAACAGAUAAUACGGUAUUGCACUAACAACAAACGAUUGUUCUGUAUCAUAUUAGAAUCGUUUUAUAAAGUGACAAAGAGUCAAACGCCUGACACCUCAAGAACCAUAACUCAAAGAAAGAAGAUUGUGUCGAAUAAUAGUUGGAGGAGGAUGAAUUGAUGAGUGAAGGCAAUUAUUUCCUGUAGUAACAACAUGAGAUGGAUUCAAAUGAAACUGAUGAAUUUCCCAGCUUGCCAAGUAUGAAAGAUAAUUAGCAGAUUACAUGAAAAGUCUCCUCUAUUUCGAUUCAUUAAGUUGGUCUAUUUCACAAUAAUCAAAACUAAAACCUACCACUUGAUAACUGUUCCCCCAGUAACAACCCCAUCAAAAAGAAAAUACAUCACAAGAUGUUAAAAAAAACCCCAAAAUUUCAAAAAGUUAAUACAUACAAACACACAUAUAUACAAAGCCUAACUCAAAGAGAAACAGAUGUAUGAGCUAGCAAUAAAUUAACAAAAAAAAUGAAGUCAAAAUCAGAUGUCCCAAACAACAAUUCUCCAGUAACAACGCACAAGAUCUACUUGAUUGAAUGAGAAAUAUCCAAAAACAAGGACAGAAAAAGAGAAAAAGAGACUGAAAAUUGGUUACCUCAACAGUCCAAAUGAAGAAAUCAAGAGGCUCUGGUGGGUGUUCUUUGCUCAUCUCCCUCAUCAUAACGCCUUUUCAAGACCUUCAAAUCAUUCACAACCCAAACACACUCUCAGUCACAGAGACGACACAAAGAGUAAAGAGCUUAAAAAUAAAAUUUCACAAAAAAUAAAAUAAAUAAAUAACAGCUUGGUCUAAGACUAGUGGCAGUUACUGCGAUCCGAAUUUUCUUCGUUUUUUUUUCUUUUUCUUUUGUUCGUUGUAUUUUCUGGGAGACCAAACAGAAAGUUAGAGAAAGCUGGAUUGGGACUUACCGUGCGGAAGGUGAGUGACAAUUUUGAGGGUAUAAAUUCUCUACAUUUGUUUCAGAGCUUAAAGAGAGAGAAAGUAAGAAGAAGUCUGAAACUGAUGACUCAUUUGCUUUCUUGCCCACUCUUUUUUUCUGUCUCUUAAUGGAGUUGAUGGGCCUCCAUUUUUCUCCUUUAUUUUCCCUUUUAAUUUCUCUUAAUUAUCAUUGCUAAAUUUCAUAUAAUAACACUAAAUUACAUUUUUAUCCAUAUAAAUAUUGUAUCGGAUUGCAAAGCGAUACUGGGGAGAAGGAACCCAACACACAUCUCAUAUGCAAAAGUUAAUACUAUUAAUCGCUUUAGCUACGUGUCCUUCACAAUCCAUUUAAAUUUUUACUAGUAUCUCAAUUGUGAAGAACAUAUAUUCGUGAACGUAAAUCGAAAUACUAGUAAGACUAAAUUCAUUUGAAUUCUAAACCAUAAAAGGUUAUAAUUGUAAACGUCAAAGUGAAAUGAGAUCAAAACAAUUGGAAAUAAAACCCUAAUUUAGCCAAGGAGAAAUUCUCAUUAGUACCCCUUAAGGUAACUUAUAAAUUUGGUUGGUAAAUAAUUUAAUAUUUUAUUUUGGUUCAAUGCAUGUCAAAUCAUAGAGUAAUUGGUUAUUAAUAAUACACCUUAUGACGUUUACUAUAAUAACUUUGUCUUAAUUAUUUUGGGACCAUUAUGAAAUUAUUACUAAACCAGCUUCAAUUAAGGUGCAUGUUUGGGCCCACGUGGGCCGGCCUGAGUUCGAUUGAACUGGAAGACUACGAAGGCGACAAGUUGGACCGACCAAAUCGAAACCAUGCAGACGGUCAAUGAAUCUUAUGGUCAUCAGAUCGUACGGUCGUGACGGGAGUUUCUUUGAAGCUACAGUGAACAGCUACAUGUGCAACACGUGUCCAUACCGUCGCUUACGUUGCGCUAUCAUUGUCCCUGGACCACAUACCAAAUAAUAACCCUAAAUCAGUAAUUAGAAUUACAUCACUUCCUUCUUUUAGGUGUUUAUUAUAUUGUCACUUGUUGUCUCUCCUUUUGAUCUUGCACCCACUUUUUACUGACUUUUUAUUACAAAUGUACGUAUGCACCCCAAAGAUUACAAAAAUAACUUUUCUUACCUCUUUUGUAUUUUUUUGAUGUAAAUUACUGUAAUAUAAGGGAAAAUUUGAAUUCGGGUAUAAGGAGACGAGCACUCUCCUGACAAAAGUAGUCAAUGUUGUUUUACUUAUAACUCAUUAUUUCUAUAGUUAGUUAAGAUUUUGUAUUAAUAUAAACCUUAGUGUUAUUACAAGAUAUAGUUAUCAAUAUGGAUUGGGUAUGUGUAUCAAUGUGGACCGACAAUGGGGCCAAUUCAAGAGGUGGGUUAAACAAGACCUUCUUAAUAUGCUCCUAUGGACCUAAUCCAUACUAUAUAUAUAGCAAGGGCAUGACUCAUGAGGGAAGACAAAAGGGACCCAACUUAAAAAGAGCCCAAUUUUAUAGUGACAUAACAUAUAUUGAAAUGCAGUCUCGAUCUUUUGGACUACAAGAGUUCAAGAGAUUGUGGUCACCCACCGUUGGAUAUUAAUCCAACGGUUGAAAAAAGUUUUUUAAAAGGAGUGCAAGAGUGAGUGAACCAUUGAAUUUACAUCCAAUGGUGAGUGACCACAAAUCUCUUGGACCACUGUAGUCCAAGAGAUCAGGACUGUAUGGAAAUGUAUGAAUGAUUUUUUUUAUUUUAUUAUAAUUUUAAUACAAGCGAUAUUUUAAAUUACAAGAAUGAAGGAAGUUCUUCACACAUGUUACCAAUUCCAACUUGAGACCGUGAUUUGCAAAUCAAUAUAUUUUUUCACUCAACUAAACUCCGUUGACGUGGACAUUUUUUUUGUAGUGUUGUGCUGUGUAAUGGUUAAUCUUACAUUGUUAGAUUUAUAUAUUGUUAAAACAUGCUUUGAUCUAAUGGCUUAAAUUUGUGUAAAGGUGUUGGGCCCACCACCAUUAGUAUUGCUACACACGUCCUAAAGUCGUGAGGUCGCCCACACCGGAUCACCCCGUCGUCAAAUUUCCUCUCUCACUCGAGAGCCAGGACAAUUCAAGCGCUCGCAUUUUCCGUUUUUUCAGCUCCGUGUAUCCCUAAACCCAAAACCCCCAAAUUUUCCCUCCCUUUUUUCUCUGCGAGCAAAAGCCAAACAAAUGUUCUCACCAGGAACUAAGCGAUCCAAUGUGAACCCUCGUCGGGACCCAGGAUCUCCGGCCACUCCUCUCGUCGAGAACCGGCGAUCUGUUUCCGAUAACCCGGUCCCGAACCGGCCCAGUACCGGAACUCCGGCUCCCUGGGCUCCUCGCUUAUCUGUUCUCGCCAGGUACUCGUCUAAUUUAUCAUGCAUUCGUUCUUUGAAUUGCUGAAAUGAGUUCGUCGGUUCUGCAUGUGAGCUUAAUUGUUGGUUUUAAUUGGAUAUGGUAAUUGGAGAGUUGGGUUGGUGAAUGUAAGGGCUGAUUUUCAAUCGUUUGUGUUGUUUUGUGUUUGGUUAGAGUUUUACCAGCGAACCAAAGUGAGAAAGGGGAUGAAAUUAAGCCUGUAUAUGUUGGAGAGUUUCCCCAAGUUGUUCGUGAUGAACAGGCCAGUAUGGUCCAGAAGCAUGUUCAUGGUUAGUAGGGUUUACUCCAUGAGCUUGGUUGUUGAAUGAAAUGACUAACUGUAGAAUGGUAUCCGAUGUUUUCUCUUCUUUUUUUUUCGUCUUGCAGGUGAUACAUAUGUAUCUGGUGGAAUGGAGAGGGGAACAUCUUUGGCAUGGAUUAUAUGCGGAAACAGACUCUUCGUGUGGAGUUAUCUGUCUCCUGCAGCAUCGAUCAAUUGCAUUGUUCUUGAAAUCCCUGCAAAAGUUUUUGAAGGUGGGGAUGUGGGCAGAAGUGGUGGGAACUGUUGGUUGCUUUGUGUUGUCAAUUGGGAUAGCACGUCUACAAGAACAAAGAAAGUUGUUAAACACUGUAGCUCUGCUGGUAUUGUAUUGUGUAACAAAAAAACUCGAGCUGCGGUGUACUGGCCUGACAUUUAUGCUGAAGGCAGAACUGCCCCCGUUGUUAGUGUUGCAUCUUCUGAUGAAUUGGAGGCAAAUUCUUCGCCUAUUGAUAGGAAGACCACCCCAAAGCGACAGCAACUAAAUAUGCGGCACAGGAGUAGUUUGACUGGGUUUUGUACAUUUAACUCUUUGAUUGCUUCUGCAGUCCCUGAUUCCCAGAAUAUGUGUGUUGCGCUUGCCUGUAGUUCAGAUGGCGAGCUAUGGCAGUUUCAUUGCAGCCCAUCUGGUGUUAGCCGUAAGAAAGUAUAUAGGGACAAUCAGACUCUUUCCUCCCAAGGGGGUGACAAUGGUCAAAACCUAGGGAGCAAGGGUUAUCCAAGGUCACUGACCUGGUGUGUUCCAAGUCUUCCUAUGCAGGAAUCUAACAGGCUGUUUGUUCUUCUGACAGAUCAUCAUAUUCAAUGUUUUAAUGUUGAACUUUGUGAUGAAUUUGUUGUGUCAAAACUCUGGUCUCAUGAGAUUAUUGGCUCAGAUGGGGAUCUGGGCAUUAAGAAAGAUUUGGCUGGGCAGAAGCAAAUCUGGCCUCUCGAUAUGCAGGUGGACUAUCAUGGUAAAGUGACUACCAUUCUGGUUGCUACCUUCUGCGUGGACCGGGGUAGUGGUUCAAGCUACACACAGUAUUCUCUUUUGACUAUGCAAUAUAAAUCUGGAAUGAGUGUGGAGCCUACCCAUGAAAGAGUUUUAGAGAAAAAAGCACCUGUGCAAGUGAUAAUCCCAAAAGCAAGAGUAGAAAAUGAAGACUUCUUAUUCUCCAUGAGACUGCGGGUAGGGGGAAAGCCUUCAGGAUCAGCAAUCAUCCUUUCUGGUGAUGGAACAGCAACAGUAUCUCAUUAUUUUAGAAACUCUACAAGGCUCUAUAAAUUUGACCUACCUUAUGAUGCUGGAAAGGUUCUAGAUGCUUCAAUUCUUCCGUCUACAGAUGAUGGUGAAGAAGGGGCAUGGGUUGUACUCACUGAGAAGGCAGGAAUAUGGGCAAUACCUGAGAAGGCUGUUAUACUUGGUGGGGUUGAACCUCCUGAACGAAGUUUGUCACGUAAAGGUAGCUCAAAUGAAGGAUCUGCACAAGAAGAGAGAAAAAACCUUACAUUUGCAGGCAAUUUUGCUCCUAGAAGGGCUAGUUCUGAAGCAUGGGAUGCUGGAGAUAGACAAAGGGCUAUGACUGUAAGUGCGCGUCAAACUGCCCAAGAUGAAGAAUCAGAAACUUUACUGAGCCAGCUUUUCCAUGAUUAUCUUUUAUCUGGGCAAGUUGGUGCCUCGUUUGAAAAGUUAAAAAAUUCAGGGGCAUUUGAUAGGGACAGAGAGACAAAUGUUUUUGCGCGAAUGAGCAGAUCAAUUGUUGACACUUUAGCUAAACACUGGACAACAACUAGAGGAGCCGAGAUUCUGGCAAUGGCUGUAGUAUCCUCCCAACUCAUGGAUAAGCAACAGAAACAUACAAAAUUUCUCCAGUUUCUUGCUUUAUCCAAAAGUCAUGAGGAGCUGUGUUCGAGACAGAGUAUGCCCUCAUGCCUAUUAUAUUUGCAAUGUUUUAUCAUUUGAUGUCAAAUCCUUUCCAAUUGACAUGGCAUAUGUUGAAACUUGAAAGUUCAUGCAUGCAACAGUGUAGGUAUAGCAUGCAUUUACUUCCACGCGUGCUUAUCUAACCCACUGCACUCAAUCAAUUUCUUUUAGGUUGUCAGAUAUUAACACAUAAAGUUAUAAUUCGUUACCGGAGUUUAAUUUAUCAAAAAUAUGAUUUUCAGGGAAUUUUUUCUUUUUGGUGCUGUGCUCAUUUGAUAAUUUUGUCAUCAGAGUAUCUAUUGGAUGCACGGAGUAUAUUAAUUAGUGUCUAGAUGACAAUAUUUCCUAAGGUGUCCUAUCAUGGGGGUAGAAGGCCUUUUGAGGAGUAUAUUGAUUUGAGGUUCAGUGGGGUGCUGUUGACCAACUAAAUUAUGGUUUUUUGUUUCCUUUUUGGCAGGAAAUUCUUUGCAAAUUAUCUUGGAGCAUGGUGAAAAGCUUGCUGGAAUGAUUCAACUAAGGGAAUUGCAGAACAUUAUUAGCCAAAACCGCUCUAGUGGACUUAACUCCUCCCAUUCUAGUCCAGAAAAUCAAAUAUCAGGUGCUCUCUGGGAUCUCAUUCAAUUAGUUGGUGAGAGAGCCCGCCAGAAUACUGUUCUUCUGAUGGAUAGGGAUAAUGCUGAAGUCUUUUACAGUAAAGUUUCUGAUCUUGAACAAGUGUUCUCUUGCUUAGACAAACAGCUAGAGUAUGUAAUAAAUGCAGAGCAGCCAUUUGGGAUUCAGGUCCAGAGAGCUUGUGAACUGUCAAAUGCAUGUGUUACUAUAGUUCGUACAGCCAUGCAAUACAGAAGUGAGCAUCACUUGUGGUAUCCGCCACCUGAGCGCUUAACACCUUGGUAUUGUCUAGCUGUGGUGCGCAAUGGGAUGUGGCACCUCGCUUCCUUCAUGCUGCAGCUGUUAAAGGAGGCAUCUCAACUUGAUGUGUCUGCAAAAUCAGAUUUAUAUACUCAUCUAGAAGUGCUGGCUGAAGUUCUGCUUGAGGCAUAUGCUGGUGCUGUCACAGCUAAAAUUGAACUAGGAGAUGAACACAAAGGCUUAUUAGAUGAGUAUUGGAAUAGGAGGGAUGCACUCCUAGACUCGCUUUAUCAACAAAUCAAAGAGUUUGUGGAAGUUGGGCAUCAGGUAUUCUUUGUUUAUUACUAUUAUUGUUUAAAUUUUAUUUUAGCUCAACGGUAUCUCUUUGUGAUUGUGAUCCUGGUGCUGGAUAAGUAUGCAUCUUUGAAUUUAUUGUCUUAGCAGAAUUUAAAUGAAGGAACUGAUGAUCUAAAUGAAGAAAUUCUUGCGAAGCUUUCGUCAUGUUUGCUGCCCAUGGCAAAACGGCAUGAAUGCUACAGUACUUUAUGGAAAAUAUGCUGUGACCUGAAUGAUUCUGGACUACUAAGAAAUCUGAUGGUAUGACAGUUAUAAUUUCUUCGGCUUGUUACUUGUUUAUUUUCAUUUGUUUUCUGAAACUUAUGGAAUGGUUUCUCUGUUGGAAAGGUUGUUCUGUGCUAGUGUGUAGUAUUAGUCCGUUGGAAUUCAUUUAACCAUUGAAGCAUAGUAACCUGCGUUGGUUGUUUCUUGAAGCUCUUCCUCUUAAUGGUGCCACAGUUCUGAACGUUUACUUUGAAGCUGUUCUCUUCUAAUUAGAAUAAUUCUUCUGCAACUUUUUUCAUCAUUUCAAUGUUUAGUCCUACUUAGAAGUUUGUUAUUUUUAAGGAUUUCAUUAUUAUGUUUCUGUUUAAACUUAAAAACAUAGGUUUUCUCUUGAUCAUUUGCUUCGAAGAUAUUGUUUGAUGUGAUUUCUGUUUUCUCUUGUUUUCUUGUCUUAUUAGAUGUCUCCUUCGUUUUCUGAAAAUGAUUUGUUAUAUAGCAUGACAGCAGGGGACCUAAUGGAGGGUUCAGUUACUUUGUGUUCAAACAACUUUAUCUAAGGAGACAACUUUCCAAACUGCUUAGGCUUGGGGAAGAGUUUCCUGAAGAGUUAUCCAUAUUUUUAAAGUAUCAUCAAGAUCUUCUGUGGCUUCAUGAAGUGUUCCUUCAUCAAUUUUCUUCAGCUUCGGAAACUCUUCAUGAAUUAGCUCUUUCUCAAAAAGAAAGCUCAAUUUCAGAAGCUGAAGAGGGGACUGGUCCUGAGAAUCUGACUAUGUUACCGAAACUGGCAGACAGAAAGCGUUUUUUGAAUCUCUCAAAAAUAGCCGCAAUAGCAGGUAUGUUUUAUCCUUUGACUUUCCUUAAUAGUUUCUUCAUAUAAUUCCCCUCUUCUUGAGCGUUUUCUUGUUUUCUUUACACUGCAUACUCCAUAUGUUUUCUUAUUCUUUUAACUGUUAUUUAAAGAAAGUUUUAUUUUUAUUGCAAAAUCAAGUUGAUAUAGUAAUUUGUGCAAACCAUUAAGUCAAGCCACUUGAGGACUUCCCAUUUAAUGAGAAAUUGGUAAAUGCCUCUCUAGUAUAGCAAUCAAGGGUUGCUAGUUGUGAGAUAUAUUUUGGUUUCUGUGUUGUCUUGAUUUUUAUGAGUGGUUUUGUCAUCUAAAAGACCAAGUCAAACUUCCGCAUGUUACGAAUUGCUACAUGGUUCACUGCUUUGGGGUGUUGGAAAUGCUAAUAUUUUUUUGGCAUGGGAAGAUAAGAACAUUACUUGGUAAUUUUAUUUGUUUUAUUUUAGCUUGAGCUAUACUGGUUAUUUAAGUGUUAUAUAGUUGUUUGCUUCAUUGGCAGGUAAGGAUGUUGAUUCUGAGACCAAAGUGAAGCGCAUUGAGGCUGAUUUAAGGAUUCUAAAGUUGCAGGUCUGUUGUGUUUUAAAACAAAUUUAAUUGCCAUUUUUGUUUUUAGUUGAAGGGUCUUCCCGAUUAUUUUUCCUUUUUAAGAGCUUUCGUUAUUUGGGUAUCAGAAUUGGCAAAUCAGUCUUGUAUUAUCAUGCCUUCAUUAAAAAGAAAAAAGAGAGAAAGGAUUCUGCUUUUUAUGAUUGGGUAUGGGUUAACAGGAACAAUUCAUGUGCCAUGUCUCUUGCCCCUUCCUCCCUUCCACCCUUCAUAUUCCACGGUUGGCGGCAGUUCCAUGAAAAUUUUCUUCCAGUCAUUGCACUUGCAUGAUUAGAGCCCAAAUUCUCAAUGGUGAUGGUGCAUUUUUAGUCAUUUGUAUUAAAUUGCAUGAGCAAUUAAAUCAAGCUUAGCAGCUUGAGAAGGUUGUGCCUUGUUCUCUUCAUAUGUCCUAAUUGAACAAGGCAUAUAUAACAGAAUUUUCCACCCCUCCCACUCUAAUUAUUAAGGUGGAAAGUAAUUUAUUUUAUUUUCAAGGAUAGGACUUUUGGAAAUCAGUAGUGAUCAAGCAAAGCCUUGAAUUAUGACUUAUUUUUUAACUCUUGAAUAUGAUGAAUCUCUUUCAACUAUGUACAUUCACUGUCAGUCUUCACCUGAUACAUCAUCUGUUGUUGCAGGAAGAAAUAAUAAACCUCCUUCCUGAUGAUGAAACAAAGCAAAGCCUUGACACAAAGCUACUUCAUCCAGAAGAUCUUAUCAAGCUGUGCCUUGAAGGUGAAAAAGGUGCAGAGCUGUCACUGCGAGCUUUCGAUGUAUUUGCAUGGACCAGCUCCUCCUUCCGUAAGACCCGUGCAAACCUUUUAGAGGAGUGCUGGAGAAAUGCUGCUGAUCAAGAUGAUUGGAGCAAACUCUAUCAGGCAUCGGUAUCUGAAGGGUGGAGUGAUGAGGAAACCUUGCAGAACUUGAAAGACACCGUGCUUUUCCAGGCAUCAAAUAGAUGUUAUGGACCAGAAGCUGAAACUUUUGGAGAAGGGUUCGACAAAGUGUUGUCACUGAGACAAGAAAUCGCGGAGCCUCCAAUCAUAAAGGAUUCAGUUUCUUCUGUGGAAGCAGUACUCAUGCAGCAUAAGGAUUAUUCAGAGGCAGGGAAGCUGAUGCUGACCGCGAUCAUGUUGGGUAGUUUACAGGACGAUAACAUAGAACAAGAAGGUCCUGUGCCAAUGGAAUGAGAGUCAGAUUAGUAUGAAUCAUGGUGAUGAGUUCCUGGAUGUGUCAUUGUUUUUUUUUUGUUGAUACACUGAGAUUCGUAGUGUACUAGUCGACAAGUUACAGCUAAAUUUUCUCUUUUCCUUUUUCUUUUUCUUUUCCCUUGUGAAAUUCUCCAACCAAGUUUAUACGAACAUUUGUCAGUCUACUCCGAUGCUUUACUGGUUGUCAGUUGUAAGAAUUUUCUAAGAAGGCGGCAAGUUUUCUUUUUAUAUAUAUAUAUGAACAAGGGAAUUGAACCUGGGAUUGGAAUCCGCAGUAAUUCAUGCAAGCAGUUGCAUUAUCGGCAAUUUCUGUCAAAUUUAAGAAUGCCUUUAGUUUUGCCUUUAGUUUUAAGGGAAAACAAAGCGUGACAAAAUCAGACCAAAAUUGAAGAAAUAAGAAGAAAAAAAGAGUGCAGUUUCGGCGUUUCUUUCUUUGCCGCGUUGCCUUCCAUUACCUCGAAAAUACAUCUAAAUUUCAAGAAAAAUAGAUUUAUUUUGAGGCGGAAAAAUGCAUGAUGAAUUUACCGGGAAAUACUACUGGUUUUGUUGAUGAAUUUCGUUGAAGUAGAAUGCUUUUCUUCUUCCUCUUCUUCCAUUGCCAACUACUUUUGCAUUCUAUUAAAGCCUCUUAUUUUUGGUCAAAAACUACUGCGGCAGGCAAGCCAAUGUGAAGAAGAAGAGGGUCCCCUGCCAAUGGAGCGACAGUCGGGGUUAGUAUUGAAUCAUGAUGUUGAGCUCUUGAAUCGAAUCUCUUUUUUGCUACUUCUAUAAUUAAUAAAAUAUUCAAAAAUGUAGAAAUGAGUUUAGCCAAGUUGGCUAGUGGAUGUGCUUCCCACUCUGCACUGACUUCGAAUUCCCCCACUCUUAGGUUUAUAUCAGUUCAAAGUAGAUUAUCGCUUGUAUAUAUUUUUUUAAAAAAAUAAAUUUUUUUUUUUCAAAAGUAAUUGAUCAUUUGUUUUCCUUUUUUGUUCUUCCCAUAUAAAAUUGCUCUAAAAGGAAAUAUUUGUAAGUUUACUCGUUAUCAUUUACUGAGCGAUUAUAUAUUUUGAAGUGGAUAUUUUAGGUUAUUCUUACAUAAAAAUUUUCUAGAUUCAUAAUUGUUUGGUUAUCCUAAAUGUGAAGAAAAAUGUUGUUCGAUAAAUAAAAUUGAAAAGAAGAUGCGGGUAAUCAAAUAACUAAAUAAUUUUCGAUUCUGCUCAUUUUUUAUAUGUUAAGUAAUUCUUGAAAGAGAACUUAAAAAUUGAAUGGUUUCGAUGCUCGAUUUACAGCCCAUAAAUAGGGUUUCCUUGUUUUCAUUUCCCUUGAAAGUGUUCAGCUCUACCUAUGGUUACUGUGUCAUACCAAUUUCCAAACUGUUGUUAUUUAUAUUAAUUUCUUUUAUACAAUAUCCAAAGUCUUGCCUCUAAUACAAAAUCUUUUUCCGUAGGGUUGGUGCUGAAUAUCUUGGUUUGGAAUUUUUAAAGAGGAUUAUUGAACAAGACGACCCCAAAACGAAAUGAACAACACUAAUCUAUUUGUUAGUGGUUACUUAGACUAAUUAAGUAAAAUAAUGAAUAUUCGUUAAUAUACUAGACAAGACAAGCAAGUCAAGUACUUUGCACUACAGACCAAAGCAAAGACUCGUGUAGCUUUUGUUAUGUUUGGAGACUUUUUACAUUAUCUCUAUUAUUUUUUUUAUUCCGACCACAUGACGUGCUACUAUGCAUGAAUAAAUAUCAUUUGAGAACAAGCAAGCCUCAUUGACUUCUUACACCAAAUACUAAAUACAUUUCUUGCUCGUUUGUGAUUUCUUGUUUAGGAAGGACUUUUGUUUAUUAGCGCUUUUAUUAUAAAAUAUUAAAAAUUUUAUAAGAAAUUUCAGUGCUUUCUAGAAAAUCAUUUUGAAGUGAUUCAUGAAGAAGCUCAUAGCAAAUGCUUCUCCAUAAAGUGCUUUUAUGACCCAUAAGUGCUUUUAUUUAUUUUUAAUUUUAUCAAACGUUGUUGUUGUCACCAAAAAUGUGUCGUUUUAAAUUUAUAAAUACUUGCAAGCACACGAAUCGGAUAUAGUAUAGAUGUGUAAGAACCAGGUCGUACCCAUAAAGAUUGAGUGAAAAAUAUAGAAAACUAAUUAAACCCAAGUUAAUUUUAUUGCCAACCUAGUUGAAUCAAAUGGUGAUUUGUUCGUUGAUAAAGAAAAUUAAAUAAAGCAAAAAAAAAUGGAAAUUAAAAUAGAGAUUAAAUUAAUGAGAAAAGUAACUAAGGUAUUAGAAUCCACACCACUAUUUCAUAAAACUCUAAUUAUUUACCUGUUAAUUUCCACGCUGAGUAGCAAUCUAGAAGUCAACCUAUUACUUUCUCAAGAUAUAUCAUUUAGGCCCUUUAAUGAAUCUUUUUGUAAAUUCCCCUUCCCUUCAUUAGUACAAAUUCUAAGCAUCGCAUGUAAACAAAAUUUUUUUAACUACGAAGGAUCAAAGUUUCCUAAGCAUCCUAGGUGAAAAAGGUUAUUUGAAUGACAAGAGAUCAAAGAAAUUUGGAUACUAAAAAUACAAAACCAAGGAUGUAUUAAUAAAUCAACCCAAAUUCUUAACUACCACAAAUACACGAUAGAAGUGGUGAAAAGAAAGUUAAUCUACUAAUCAUGUGAAGUGGAAAUUAUAAACAUUGAAUAAUUUACUUCGGAAACUAGAAGAUAAAAACUAGAACUUCAUUUUAUAAUGAUGUUUCAUUAUUAACAAAAUUUAACUAGACAUAAAUAAAAUAACAAAAUAAUUACAAGAUAAAAACUAAAGUGGAAAUGAAAAAGGGAAAAUUGCAUCAUUAACCCUUUGGAUCCUUGCCUGUCGGCUCCCCAAGGUUCUCUCCAAUUCUAUCGCAUUUUCUCUCCUCUUUCUUUCUCUUUCUCUCUUUCCUUCUCUUUGCCGUGUAUCUCUUGGUACCUCACAUCUUUGCUCCAAGCUUUUAAUUAUAAUCAAAGUUUAGGAGCUUAAAUGAUAGAAUAAUCAAGAGAGAAUAAGAAUUCUGGUCUUAUCUAUGCACAUUACAAUAGAACACAAAGUGGCAAUAAUGUCAACUACACUUUUAUUUUAUUUUCUCUCUUUUGAGUGCCAAUUUUCCACAAUCCCGCGUGGCAAACGCGUAUAGAGACGAAGCCACACCACCACUCCCUCCCUCCCAGAAAAAAAUUUCACUACAAAACAAUACAAACAAAGAGAAAGAGGCUUACAUUACAUAAUGUCAUAAAACAAAAUAUGAAAAUAAAAAGAAGCUCCCUGUUGUACAUCAAAUUUAAUUUAUAAUCUCUAGGGAAAUUAAUUUUCUGGGUAAUUUACAAUGUGUAGUUUCCAGGUCGCUUCCUUUAUGGGGGCAAAAUUGUAAAAUGCAACAUAUCUCACGUCUAUAAAAAACCCCCAAUCAUCACUCAACUAAUCACACCUCAACCUCAUUUCCUCAUCCUAUUUCUAUCAUUAACUGCAGUGUCUUUCUUGACAUUAUUCAAUAAAUCCCAUGUUUGUUUUUUCUCUGCUACGCAUUAAUCUGGGGGAAAAGGCUAAUUUAAGUACUCUCCAAAGCCAGCACUCACCAAUUCCCUUUUCCGUGAAUCAAAUGAGGCCUAAUAUUUCAUUUUAGUCGCACAAAUUUCUUUGUGAGCUUUUUUGAAGCACUUUCCAAACCCAGCACUCAACAACUCCUUGAGCCUUCCUCAUUUAGUCAUAUACGUACGGUGAGUCCAAUAUUCCAUGCCAAAUCUUUUUUGAUCUUUUUUUUGAACAUUUUUUUUUGUCUGACCAUUUGUCUAAUUUUGUAGUUGCACCAAGAAACAUGUUCCUAGAGCCAAAAACAGAUGAUCAAGCUUCCGAAGGUGUGGGCAGCAGCACUAGCUUGCUCAUUCAAACCAUCAACACUUCUGGCCAAUACGUGCGGCGCAAGAGAUGGCUUAGAUAUAUUGCUCUAGGCGUUUUCAUCUCCUCACGCAGUAAGAAAACCAGAUUGCCCCAUGAAGCCCCUACCUAUGAACCUUUAGAAGCACCGGCACCACCGGCCCCUGCCUUUCAGCAUGCGAUUGACAUCCCUCUUCAGGACCGGUUUCUGAACAAGGUUGGUCGCAUUGUGAGAGAGAAGAACUUGAAUGCACUGCGAGGACUUGGUGGUGUUGCUGGCAUUUUGCCCCUUCUCAGUUCUCACUUUGAGGUAGCAAGCAAAUAAGUAGGAAAAACAAAAACAAAAAAAACAAAAAAAAACUUAAUAAUCUUAUACACUUGAUAAGGAAUGAUUGAGAAUGAUUGAACUUAACUUUGUUAAGUUAAUCAUAUUCGUUCUUUAUAUGACAGGAUGAUGGUGUUGAUGGUGGUCAAAAUCCACAAGGAUGGAACACGACCAAGUCCCCAGUUGAUGCAAAAAGCUUCUCCAACUUCUUGUUGAAGGCUUGCAAUCAAUAUACAGUUUUUUUCCUCUUACUCUCAGCAGGGUUUUCGUUUGCCAUUGAAUUCAUGAAGCAAGGAGUCAAACAAGGGUGGCACGACGGUGUUGCCAUACUCUUUGCGGUGUUCUUACUUGUUGCUUUCCCUUCAGUGGGGAACUACCUCCAUGAGAGAAAGCUGGUGAGGAAGCACCUGCUGGACAGGAGCAGACUGAUGGUGAAUGUUGAAAGGAGUAACAGAGAACCUACAUCAGUUAACAUAUCUAGUGUUGUGGUGGGCGAUAUAGUUCAUUUGAAGGAAGGAGACCGCGUCCCUGCCGAUGGUUUGUUCAUAGAUCAUGGUGAGGACUUGAUGUUGGAUGAGGUAUUGAACCCCAAAAUUGAUUGUCAACAAAACCCGUUUGUGUUGUCUGGUUCAAAGGUUAUUAAGGGGCAUGGUCGCAUGGUUGUGACAUGUAUUGGUGCCAAAACAGUUUUUGCUGAGAUGCACAGCUUGGGGACUAAUCAUAAUCCAAACGAAAAGACGCUGUUACAAGAUUUGUUGGACAAGCCAUUUGAUUGUAUGGAUUAUCUUGCGGUUUGUGUCUCUCUACUGAUUGCUCUCGUGGUGCUAAUACGGCUAUUAUUCUUCAGGAAGCAUGACAAUUACAAUGACAGGCCAGAACUGAAAGGGGAAGGUUCAAUGAACUUGGUAAUGAGGAUCUUUGAGAAAAUUUUCUUGAAACCUCAAGGACGGUUUUCCACUUUAGCAGGUGUUCUUGCAACCGCGGUGAUAGGGAUACAACAUGGAAUGCCUUUUGCGAUUACAGUUGCCCUUUGUCAAUAGAAGGAGAAGGUGGUCCAAAAUCAGGCAAAGCCUCAGAAUCUAUCAGCUUGUGUCACCAUGGGACUAAUAACAGUCAUCUGCAUAGAAACAACUGGUGAGCUAAUGUGUAGUCCGGGGGAGGUUAAGGAAUUUUGGAUGGGUGGAAAGGAUUUAUGCAGUGAUGAAGUGGACUCUGAAGCUGACCAAGUUGUUCUUGAAACACUGCAUCAGGGGAUUUCUGCUACCUCAUCCCCAACAAAAGAUUUGCUCAUUUCUUGGCUGAAGACCAGAUGGGGUGCUAACAUGGAGUUAUUGAAUGAAACAGGUAAUACCAUUGAGCAGAGACAAUUGAGCUCUGAUGAGAAAUGCAGUGGGAUUUUAGUGGAGAAAAUUGUGAACGAUGAACAAAUUCUGCAGUUGCACUGCAAUGGGGAUGCAUCAACAAUAUUACAUAAGUGUUCACAUUACAAUGAUAACAGAGGGGAAAGUAAAACUAUGAAAAACCAGAACAGAAGAUUUAAGCAGGUGAUUAAUAAAAUGGAGGAGAAUGGUCUUAGGCCCAUUGCAUUUGCUUACAAGAAAACAGAAGUCCAUGAAGUUACAGAAGAUGGGUUGAUUUUGUUGGCAAUCGUGGGCGUUAGACGCCCAUAUCAAGAAGAGCUUAAAUUGGCAGUCGAAGCUCUUAAAAGGGUUGGAGUAAGCAUCAAACUGGUGUCAGAGGAUGAGCUCUCAACAGUGAGAGCCAGGGCUUCACAACUUGGAAUCUCCCCCGGUUCAAAUGACAUGGAAAUUGAAGGAGAAGUUUUCCGAAGACUGAAUUCCAUGGAAAGGCAGGAUAAGAUGGAUAUGAUCUCUUUGAUGGGAAGGUCCCUCCCUAAGGACAAGUUUCUCAUGGUGGAUCGCUUAAGGAAAAAAGGUCACAUAGUUGCAUUCUAUGGAGGGUUGACCAUAAGCGACACUCCGACCUUAAAAGAAGCUGAUGUAGGAGUCAUAGAUGAUAUCCGGAGCACAGAAAUGGCUAGAGAGAAUGCUGAUCUUAUAGUUAGAAAUGUCUGUUUACUAGCCCCUAUUUGGAAGUCUGGUGCAUGUGCUUACCACAACAUUCAGCAAUUCUCUCAACUUCAGCUCACUGCUUGCAUAUCCGGGCUACUGAUAACCUUAGUGGCAACAAUGCAUUCCGGAGAGUCCCCGUUAUCCGCAGUUCACUUGAUUUGGGUGAACUUGAUUAUGUGCCUUCUUGGUGGCCUCAUGAUGGUGAUGGAGUUACGAGGCCCAGAACUACUCACUCAAAGACCUGCAAAGAGGACUGAGUCACUUAUAACACCAGUCAUUUGGAGAAACAUAGCAAUUCAAGUUUCAUCUCAGGCUUCUGUCUUGCUGAUCUUACAUUUCAUGGGAAAUGCAGUACCAAGCAUGGAUCAAGGCAUCCGGAAUACGAUGAUUUUCAAUACUUUCACCUUGUGCCAGGUCCUUAAUCUGUUGAGUGCCAUGCACUUGGUGAAGAAGGAAAUGCUACUAGUUGUCCUCCACAACUAUUGGUUUCUGAUGGCUUUGGGGGCUGUUUUGAUCAUGCAGGUGAUGAUUGUUGAGUUUGGAAAAGGGCUAGUUAGUGGUGCGAGGUUGAAUGCACUGCAAUGGUUGAUCUGUUUCCUUCUUGCUGCUCUUUCAUGGGGAUUUGAUUGGACCUUUAAAUUGCUUUCAGAUAGCAUCGAAAGAACAACUUCGGCAUUGAUGGUGAAUUCACAUGUGGGGUUCUCAAAUAGGAGGCGCAGAUUAUACAUUUCUAUUUGGUUGUUCCUGAUCUUCUCCGUAUCGUUGUUUUGUUUUCACCCAGUUUCUCAGCUCGCUAGCACAUAUAUCAGUUAAAUUGGAAGUCUCCCAUGGAAGUCUUAACAAAGUUAAUAAACCAUGUAGUCAUCUUGUGGUCUGUCUGUGUUCCUACUUGUUCUGCACAAUGCCAUCUCUAAAAUGUGAAUAAGUUAUUCUCCUGCCUUUUUACCAUGAGCCUUCGCGACAAUAGACCAGAAUGCUAAUAGAUAUUACAUUGUAGUUGAUCAUAGACAAUGUAGGUGAGCUUAUGUUAUUUACUCUUCGGGACAUUCUCCAAUAAGUAUUUAAAUUAAGGAUUAGUUACAUACUUCUAAUCUCGACUGUUGGAUUGCAUCUAAGAGAAUACGAACACAUUAAAUGAAUGCAAGCCAACAGCUAAGAUUAGAAGUAUGUAACCAAUCCUUAAAAUACUUUUUGGAGAAUCUCCCUUUCUGCCCUGCUAUGGUUUGCUGUUGUUUUGUCAAUACUGCGGCAAAUUAACCUUUUCACAGCAGCCAAGGAACAGUUCUAAUUUUAGAGGUUGGCGUUUUUUACCUCAAGCCUACAAAAACACCCAAGGAAAGUUUAUGCUUUCAUGAUUUCAUCAAUGGGGGCCUAUUAAAUAUUUGUCUUCUGGUUGGAGCUGGCAUGAACUUCUACAGUACAACUAAUCUUGUGGCCUGCGUUCACCAACCACAAAAAUUGCACCAAUUUGCCAGCCACGUGGCUAAGAGAUAACCUCUCUCUCACUAGAACAAUCAGUUUGGAAAUCUAAAUCCAAUUGAGAACCAAUAGAAUGUUGCUGAUGUGUAGAUAUCCUAAUCCACAACAUCUUCACAUUCCCGUUAUAACAUCCCAGCGCUCUAGUUGUCCAAGGCAUCUCAUUAGGCCUCACAACACCACCCCACUUCGAACAGGAGAGCAUAGUCAUGGCAACCUCUGCAAUCCAACAAUCAGCAUUUGCUGGCCAGACUGCUUUGAAGCAGUCAAAUGAGCUCAUCCGAAAGAUUGGCGGCCUUGGUGGCGGCCGCAUCACCAUGAGGCGCACCGUCAAAAGCACCCCCCAAAGCAUAUGGUAAGUACCUUGGCUCUAGCCUGUGAGAAUAAGAUAUUUUUUUCCAAGCAACUCUACUAAAACUUCCAUGUGUAUAGAUAUGGUCACUGAUACAUAUUACGCUAUUGGAGUAAAUUAAAGUAUCUAGUAGUAUUGAGAGUCAUGGAUUCGACGUAAACUUCUAAUCAAAAUGAUGUUUAGAUUACAAUGACAGAAUCUCUAACAAUCUAUUCUACCUCAAUGCAUAAAGUUACAGUGUUACAAGACCAACAUGCUCAACAUAGCAUUAGGAAGUUUACACCAUACCCAUACCUUUUAAAGCCAAGGCCUUGAGCUUAUUAUGCUAACCCUCUUCACUGUAAUUAACAAAACAGGUAUGGCCCAGACCGCCCAAAAUACUUGGGACCAUUCUCUGAGCAAACUCCAUCAUACUUGACUGGUGAAUUCCCUGGUGACUACGGAUGGGACACUGCUGGACUAUCCGCAGACCCUGAGACAUUUGCCAAAAACCGUGAGCUUGAGGUGAUCCACAGCCGAUGGGCCAUGCUUGGUGCACUGGGAUGUGUCUUCCCAGAAAUCCUGUCAAAGAAUGGUGUCAAGUUCGGCGAGGCUGUUUGGUUCAAGGCUGGAUCUCAAAUCUUCUCCGAGGGUGGCCUUGACUAUCUUGGCAACCCAAACCUUGUCCAUGCCCAGAGCAUCUUGGCAAUCUGGGCUGUCCAGGUUGUGCUCAUGGGAUUUGUCGAAGGAUACAGGGUUGGUGGAGGACCACUUGGUGAAGGACUGGAUCCACUUUACCCUGGAGGGGCCUUUGACCCACUUGGACUGGCUGAUGAUCCUGAGGCGUUUGCUGAACUGAAGGUGAAAGAGCUUAAGAAUGGGCGGCUGGCAAUGACUUCAAUGUUUGGAUUCUUUGUUCAGGCUAUUGUAACUGGAAAGGGCCCAGUUGAGAACCUAUAUGACCAUGUUGCUGAUCCAGUUGCCAACAAUGCAUGGGCUUAUGCCACCAACUUUGUCCCUGGAAAAUGAAGAAACCUAAAUGCAUGGCUGUUCAUAUGUAACAUUACCCGAACUUCUUGCCUUUGUUGAGGUUCUGUUGUUGUGGACUCCAUUAGUUCUGAUGUAAUCUUACUAGAAACUGCUUGUAUUGAAAUCACUUAUCCAGUAAAACCGCCCAGCUCCUUUGUGCUUGAACUCCUUAUUUGUCUAGAUGUGUUGAACAUUCAAAAGUUCCAGUCAACAAAUGCAUGCUUUGCUACAAUAUAGUAAAUCUAAACCAGAGAAUAAAUAUAUAACAACCAAAAUACAAGGGAAAAUAAAAAUUAAAACCAAAUCAUAUGAUUAUCAGAUUCAUCUUAGGUUUCUUCAUCUAUUCCUCCCCAUUAGGCAAAUUAAGUUUAACCAGCGCAUACAGAGAAUGUGGGAAAGAUUUCUGCAAACUUUUACCCACUGAACACUGGCUAUCAUCUCUAAUUUUAAUAUCAGCAUAAUGAAGACUGCCUAAGCUAUUAGUAUUACGGACACAUAGUAUAUGGAUUUGGCCAAUGCAGGGUGAAAGGAAUGAUGGGAAGAGCUAUCAUCUCUUACUAUAAUCUCAGUAUAAUGAAGAUUGCCCAAAUAGCUAAGGGCAGCCACAAUCCUGUUGCAAGAAAGGCUGUUUUGGGCUCUGGGCAAGCCAUACUGGUAUCGUGUCGAUAUAGAUGUCAACAUGUUUGUCAUAUGGAUGGUGAUAUGUUAUUUAUAUGGAUGUUGAUAUGUUGUCAGUGUGGAUGUCGAUAUGUUGUUGAGUAUCCCACUCCAGCUACAGUGGAGUGGGAUAUAUGUAUAUAAUAUUACACAAUAAGUGCCCACAAAGAGAAUGUACAAAACAAAGAGAAUCAGAGCACAAAGAGAAUGUAUGAAACAACAAAUUUGGAAAAUUUUCAGCAAACAAACUUUUGCCAACUGAAACUUUUCACAUGAUGGGAGGAGCUAUUAUCUUUCAGUAUAAUGAACAAUUCUUGUAGGGGUAACCAGUAUACAACGAAGAUUGCCUCUAAUACUAAGGGCACCUAGUGUACGAGCCUUCUGCCAAUGCAGGGUGAAAGAAGCGAUGGGAAUGACUAUUAUAUCUCACUGUCACUAUAAAUUCAGACUCUCUGUAUAAGAUAGCCUAUCUUGCACUAGUCUCUGGCCAAUUCAGCAUCUAGGGAGAGCAAGACCUAUGCAGUCAUAUCCCUGUAACAAGGGGGGCUGUUUUUGCUGGGGACAAUCAUUACAUCAAGAAACACCUUCAAGAAUGUCUAUACUGCUAAAUCUCAAAAGGAACACAAAGAAAUGCAUAAAAUCAGAAGAAAUGAUACCAGUGGCCAAUUUUAAGAGUGGAAGAAUAGAGGUAGAGGCAUUCUGAUGCUUAUUGCUUCGAGCAGAUCAACACAAGCGUCAAUGCAGCAGACAAACAAGUCAGUCACCAAAAAUCUUUGCAAGAACAUGACCCAUUUCUGAAAUGAUGGAAACGACUAUUAUCUCUCACAAUAAUCUCACGAUCAUAGAUACUGGAUAGGAGUUUAGUGACAGAGUGGCAAUCGUUACAGACACGAAGAUUCUUUAUAAUGCGAAUAGGACUCCCAGAUUCCAAAUUAAUAAGACCAUAUGCAAUAGCCAAUCUCUCGCUAUGGUUUUCCAAUUCAGCUUCCUUCUCUUUUUCCUCUUCAAGACACAACAGAACUUGACUUGUGUCAGGAACAUGUCCUUCGGAUUUCAGUUUCUCUCUCAUCUCAGUCAACUUAGAAUAUAUGUCUUUUGUCCGAGGAUGUGAUUUGUCACCGACAAUAAACCCAUGAAGCACACCUCUGUGCUCUAUGGAACUGCAUCCUGGGUCCUUUUUUACUCCUCUCUUUCUCAUAAUUUCUCUUACCUGUGAAACUUUCUCCCACUUAUCAGCCGCAGCAUACAUGUUAGAAAGAAGAACAUAGCAUCCAACAGUGUCUGGAGACACGUCAAUCAAAUGGCGAGCUGCAUAAUCACCAACUUCAACAUUUCCCUGGUUCCGAGCACCACUAAGCAAACUCAUCCAAAUUACUUUGUUUGGUUUCAUGGGCAUACCUUCAAUGACAUUCUUUGCCUCGUCCAGACAACCAGCGCGGCAUAAAAUGUCUACAAAACAACCAUAGUGUUCAAUUGUGGGUUCAAUUUCAUAAUCAUUUAUCAUCAGAUUGAAAUAGUAACGACCAAGAUCAACCAAUCCUGCAUGACUACAUGCAUUCAAGACUCCGAUAAAAGUUAUACUAUGAGGGCGCAUUCCAUUUUUGCGCAUCUCAAGGAAUAGCUCAAGAACCUGGUCGGCCAUACCAUGCAUUCCUAAACCAACAAUUAUAGCAGUCCAAUGCCCCAAUUUCUUCCUGUCUAUAGCUCGAAAUACAGCCAGAGCACUCUCUAUGCUCCCACACUUGGAAUACAAUUCUAUCAAUGAUGUACCAAGCACACCAUCUAAAUCAAAUCCAUGUUUUACCAUGAAAGAAUGUAUCCAUCUCCCCUUACUUAGAGUGGCUAAUCCUGAAACGGCAGAAAGAGCACUGACUAAUGUAGCAUGACUAGGCAUAAUAUCUUCUUCCAAAAUUUCCUGAAACAACUCCAAUGCUUCCAUAAACUGUCCAUUAAAUUCAUAACCUGCAAUCAUCGAAUUCCAAGUAAUUAUAUCUCUUGUUGGCAUCAGACCAAACAAUUGACGUGCCAUCUCAAAAUCUCCGGAUUUCAUGUAACCAUUAAUCAUGGCAUUCCAAGAAACCAAAUUUCUAUUUGGCAUCCUAUCAAAUAUCUCCCUAGCCAUCUCUACCUUCCCGCAUUUUGAUAACCCGUCAACUAAAACAGUCCACGAAAAAGAAUCUCUCUCCUGCAUUUGAUCAAACAAUUCCAUUGCAACUUCUACUUCUCCACAUCUCGCAUACCCAUCAAUCAAAGAAUUCCAAGUAACCAAAUCUCUAUCAAGCAUUUGAUCAAACACUUUCCUAGCCAAACCAAUCUCACCACACUUUGAGUAUAAACUAACCAAACUACUCUGCACAAACUUAUCCAAACCAAGCCCAAUUUUCAACACCAACCCAUGAAUCUGUUUCCCUUCCCCAAUCGCAUUUAACCGAGCACAACCCUUUAUCACACACGGUACAGUAAAAUUAUCCGGAACAAGUUCAUGAAGCAAUUCAUAGAACAAAACAAUAGCAUCAUGGGAACGUUGGUUCCCAACAUAGCAUUUGAUGAGAACGUUCCAGGAAACCAAGGUGGGUUCUUCAAUUUGAUCGAAGACGGAGCGAGCAGAGUCAAGAUUGUUGAUUUUGGGGUCUGCGUAGAGAGAUAAGAAACGGGAAGCAAUUGCUGGGUGGCUGAAAGUUCCGGUUUUGAGGGAUAUGGCGUGGUGUUGCUCUGCUUCUCGUUGGGUUUUACAGGUUUGGAGAAGCGAAAAGGGGAGGCUUUGAGGAGAGAGCAAUGGUUGAUGGAGAGAGUGAGAAGGCGUGAGUUGAAGCAUUGCUAUGGCUUUGGUGGAUCAGAUGAUUGACUGAAGGGCUCUGUGUGUGGCUUAUUAUAAAGGGAAAUAGCUCAAAAUAUCACCAAUUUUAUAAUUUUAUGUCAAAAUACCACCCCUUCUCAAAAAUUUUAAAACUAUGACCUAUAAAUACAUUUUUAUUGUAAAUUGAUUGCACCCAUAUCACAUUUUCAGAAAACCUGAGGGGAACUACGGGUUUAGAAUGACUUCGCCUCCGCCUCUUUUCUCGUUCGAUCGUCUACGGCCUCCGCUUCCUCUCUCCUUCGUUCUUCUACGCCCCUGCCUCCGCCUCUGCUUUUUCGAUUGUCUGCCUUCCUCCUCCUCCUCUGCUUUUUCGAUUGUCUACCUUCCUCCUCCUCCUCCUACUUGGCUCUUCUCCUUAGCUAUCAGCUAUUUCAUACCCAGAAGUGUUGGAUCCUGAGCAAGCAGUGAAAGGGCUAUCUGGUAAUCUAAUGACUAAUACUAUUAGUUGGAUAUGCUGUAUGUUUUCUCUUCAAAAUUCUAGAUUUAGUAGGGUUGGCAUACACUAUCAUGACCUGAUAUAUUUUCAGUCUGUUUUAAUUACUGGCUAUUAGGGUGUGGUUUGAAACUUUGACUGAUGGGGUGGGGGAGCUUGGACGGAGUUUUCUUAUUUUUGUGAAAUGGGUUUUGGAGGAUUAGGGAUUUUAGGGGAGUGUGUGAGUUCGCUGUUUUGGUGGAAGAUAUAUGCAGAAGGGUUAUGAUGAUGAUGGGGGUGGGUUUUUGUGUUUUGUUAAUUCUUUUGUUUGUCGGAAGAAGAAUGAGAUAUUUUUCCAACUCUUAUGAGUGAGUUGGGUUCAAAAGCAAUUAUUGUUGGUUUUAUAUUUUGAUUUAUUUGCAACUGUCUUUAUAGAAUUUAAUUUUUAAUAGUAAUAUAUGUAUUCUUCAUGAAUGGUUUUGCUCUGUUCAGGUGCGUCUGUCUACAUGGGUUUGUGCUUGAAGCAUAAUGCAAGUUUUGUUAAUAAAUUCUCUGUUUUAUGCUGUGCAGGUGUGAAUUGGAAUAAAUAAAAAAAAUUUGCUGGGUUUUUGAGACUUGUGAUGUUAUUCAUCAGUAUUCAUGCCUGGUUUCUUCUUGCAAUAAUUUUGUUGAUUGUGAGCUUUUCCCUCUAGCGCUUGUUGCUGAUACUGAUUGUGAAGGUGAAUUGGUUGUGCUUUAUGAUGUUUGAACCUCAUUUCUGUUUCUUCUCUUUCAUGCCAAUAGGUUGUAGGAAACUCCGCUCUCAAACAUAGGCAAUGAACAAUUGAGUUGACAUGCUGCUGGGAGAAUUGUUUGCAAUGCAGAGAAGACUUGUCUCUUACUUUUGUGAUGAUGAACUGGGUGAGAUUCUUUAAGAGUGAUGUGUCAUAUUUGAAUUUUUGAAUAUCAUAUUUUAGUUUUGUUUUUAAGUUUUGAACCUUGUUCUAUUUCAGCAUCCUAUAGACCUGUGUUAACUUAUAUCUACAUGUGAUAUGGAUAUAACUUAUGCUUUCAAAUUAAUUUGACUUGUGUUAUAUCUUGUUUCGUACCUUUGUUUCGAAAAUUUCUUUGUAAAGACCAAAAAGAAUAGUGUGUUUUUUUUUUUGGGUGGUAUUUUUGUUAAUGAUAAUUAUAGUAUUGAUUACUGGGUAGAGAAUGAGCUACAUUUUGUGCUUCAUGAAGUAAAAUGGCUGAGCAACUCAAAUUUGGUUUACACAACCAAGGCAAAAGGAAAAUACUAAUUUUGGAGCUUAUAUAUAGUGGUUAUAUAAGUUGCAGUUUUCGUUACUUGUAAAUCAUGAUUUCCUUAGCGUAUUUAAUUGCAUUGUGUUUCUCGUUUUGGGUAGAACAGAGUUUUCAAUGAUAGGAUUUAUUUGGAAAAAAGGAAUUCUGGUAGUUAUGCUGUGUUCUCUAUUUUUGCAUGAAAGUUGAAAGUAAGAUGUCCCCUUUAUAUGUGUGACAGCUUCAGGAUUAUGGCCUUCGUAUACUGAAGGGAAAUUGCUAUUUGAUCCUGUUAUAUCUUUUAUGGGACAAACAAAUGAGGGAAGUAGUGUUGAUUCAUCACAGAAAGCUGAGUCUUCAGAGCAUCCGCCAAAGGUUGACAAAUCAUCAGGGGAAUCUGAAUCUCCACAAAAACUCUCUACUGUUGAGGCAAAGGAAGGGGUCAAAAUAGAAACUUUACAACACUCUUCAACUGAACAGAUGGCUGAUAAGGAGGAAACUGAAGUUGUCAAGGAAGAAACAGAUGAUAAGCAUGCUGCGACGGUGGAGGAAACAAAGACAGUGAUAGCAGAGCCUGAAAAAUCUGAAUCUGAAUCAUCUUCACUGCCAGUUGAGCCCUUUGAACCCACUGUUAAGAAUGAUGGCCCAUCAGAAUCUGUGGGUUCUCAAGAUGACAACAAGAUUUCAGUAGUGGGACCCUCAGUAAAUCCAGAAACAAUGCAGGGUAAGUCAAGAGCUGUUGAGGUAGAUCAAGUUGAGGAGGGUCAUACUGUUCUCCGCGUGAGGCACAUGAUGUUGAUGUGGAUGAACAAAAGACACAGGUAGAGCAGAAGGAUGGACAUAUGACUCAGGCUGGAGAGAUUGUUGAAACAGUUGCUAUGGUUGAAGCUGAGACUCCAACUGAUAGCCAGCCUGGAGGUUUUCCUCUUUGCUAAUUUAGAAUCAUGUGCAGUUAUGAUUUUAGAUCUGUAGAUAACCUGUUGUUGCUGAUAUUGCUACACGGGAGGAGAACAGAACAACUUGGAAAAUGUGCAAGAAGGGAGAGCUAACUCAUACAACGAAGAACAAAUUGAUGAAGUUAAGAUCAAAUUAGUAGAAUUUGUGAGCUCUCCAUUAUUUAUAAUUAUAGGUAGGAAGUAUGUAUGUAAUAGAGCAAAGAUUGGUUGACUAUGUAAUAACAAUUGAAUUGUCAAGUUUUAUGAAAGAAAUAAUUUUUGCUUCUUGGGAUAGUAUUGUUAGGGUUCGGUGGCGAUUUAUUUUCCAUGUCUAAAUUGUAGUCUGUAAUGGAUGUGUGUGUAUUGUAUGUAGAUUGACUUAAUAUUGCUGUCCUAUUGCAUGUGUAUUGUACUAAUAUUGCCUGUGUAUUGUAUACAUAUUGUAUGCAUAUUGCCAUCGUAUUGCAUGUAUAUUGUAAUGCUAUUGCUAUCGUAUUGCCAUUAUAUUGCCCUAAUAUUGCCUCUCUAGUGUAUGUAUAUUGACUACGGCUCAUCAAUGGGUUUACGGUUUGGGCCAUAUUGCAUUUAAAAAUAAGACGAGGAGGAGAAAGAAACAACAUGCCUUUCAAAAACAGGCAGUCAGGUGCAUCAUAAUUGCAUCGUAAGACAUUGUAAGAAAUUAUUUUAAAAAAUAAUAACAACUAAAAAAUAAUUUACAAAAAAAGGAAGGUAUGAAUAAAGAGACAGAGAGCGAAUAAGGGGAGAAAGAGGCAGAACGAAGCUAGAGAGAGACAGAGAGAGAGCUGCGCUACAGAAAGAGAGCAAAGAGAGAGUUGCACUAGAGAGAGAGAGAGAGAGAGAGAGAGAGAGAGAGAGAGCCAAGAGAGAGAUAGAGAGCUGCGAUAGACAGAUACCAAAGAGAGAGAGAGAUGUGCUAGAGAGAGAGAGCCGAGUGAGCUAAGAGAGACAAAAUUUCUGAACAUGUGAAAAAUCAGCAAUAAGUGGACAAUAAUUAUAUUUUUAUAGGUGAUAUUGUAAUACUAUUGCUAUCGUAUUGUGGUUAUAUUGCUUUCAUAUUGCCUCUAUAGUGUACAUGUAUUGGCCUAAUAUUGCUAUCAUAUCGUAUGUCAAUGGCCAUUUGGUCUAAUAACAGAGUCUCCACUUCGUUGAAAAGUAAUCCUGAAUUCGAAUCUCAUGGACACGACAAUUGUUAUCCAUCCUUAUAUUAGCAUGAAUUGAUGUUGACCUUUGAAAUGAUAGUUGGAGUUGCACAUCGAUUCAUAUUCAAAAGGAAAGUAAUUCUCUCCCUCAAUGAAUCUUCGUUCAAAAGAAGGCAGCUAUCAAAUAUUGGUACAAAAAUGCAAGGUCCACAGUAAAUUAAUUGGACACAAACCACAUAUUACAAAACUAGGAUGAUUUUUGGCAUGCUUGAAAAGACAAGGGCCAAAUACAACAGAAAAGAAAAUCCAUUCAAGCUUCACACUAAACAUGGCUCAAGCACUCGACCAUGGUUUCAAUCCAAAACCUACCCAACAAGGGCAUACCACGUGUCCAUCAUAACAUAAUAGUGGCAUUUACAAAGCAUGAACUGCAAUAUGUUUCUUUUUCUCCUAAACAAAAUUGUUACUAAAAUGGAACAAAAGAUCCCUAACAUAGAGCAAUACAUGCAAAGAUAGUCAAUUGUCAUACACACAAAAUUAGUCCUCAUCCAUCCCUGCAUGCUGAUCUCUCUCACUAGGGCCACCUGCUGGUUUUGCCAUUAUAAUCUGCAAGAUAGUCAAAGCACUGUCAACAACCUUUUUUUAAUGAAGGUAUUAAACAUUAAAUAGGCUGCAAUCAGAUGGAUUCAUCAUUUCUCACAGAUUUUUAGCUAGCCAGAAAACCCCCAACAUAUAGAUUUUCUAUUUACUAUCCCUCCAUCCAGACCAUUGGUCAGAUGCGGUAAUGGUAUUUUUCAUAGUACCAUCUGUCAAAGUAUAUAUGACAGUUACUGACAUCAUGGAUGCACACAAAUGUUGUUUAUCUAACUCUACUGCAACUAGAGUUGUCACAAUCUUCCUCUUUCUCUUUCGAUCCAUGUCUACCCUGCCAUUAACAAUAUUGGCAAGAACAAAAUCAUAAUCUGUGACUUUCUUUUUUAUACUCAAACAUAAACUGAUUAUCAGAAAUUGCAGAACAUAGAAUUAUGGUGACAGAGAAGCACCACAUACCUGUUGGGUUGUUGUUGCUGCUGCUUAGACCCACUUUCAGCAGCUCCCUUUUGGUUCAAUAGCAAGUUUCAAUUUCAACUCAACUCUUAUGUCAAAAUUGCUUGCUACAACCUGCAAGAUAAGCAUAAUCAGCAGGAUUAAUACAAAGCAUUGUUGGCCAUGGCAUUGAAAGUUCUAAUACCAAUGAUGAGAACAGAGAGAAAUUAAAAAAAACAUUCUUUCUUAUACUCAAACAAAAACUGAUUAUUAGAUUAUAUGCAAAUUUAAUGUCAAUUCUCCAGACCACUUAAUGGCAUAAUUACUCGCUUGAAAUAGGAGAGAGAAAUACUAGAUAUGGAAUCACCUACUCCGCCAAUCAAUCUAAUUCUUGAUCUUCAUGAAUCGGAUCAAUUCAAAUACCCACGUCUUAAUAAAUACAUAGGAUGUACAGAAGACUAGCAAUACUGAUUUCAAUGCCAUGGCCUUUUUCCCUAUUUCCUUAACAGAGUUAAUAUGGGUUAAUAUUACAUGCACCCAUACAUCAUCAUAUUGGAUAUCAUGCUCUGUAACACCAGCUUGCAUCAUAUUCAACACAUUCCAAUUUGUCCAUACAUCAUUCAUGAUAAAAACACACUAUUCUUUUUGGUCUUUACAAAGAAAUUUUCGAAACAAAGGUACGAAACAAGAUAUAACACAAGUCAAAUUAAUUUGAAAGCAUAAGUUAUAUCCAUAUCACAUGUAGAUAUAAGUUAACACAGGUCUAUAGGAUGCUGAAAUAGAACAAAGUUCAAAACUUAAAAACAAAACUAAAAUAUGAUAUUCAAAAAUUCAAAUAUGACACAUCACUCUUAAAGAAUCUCACCCAGUUCAUCAUCACAAAAGUAAGAGACAAGUCUUCUCUGCAUUGCAAACAAUUCUCCCAGCAGCAUGUCAACUCAAUUGUUCAUUGCCUAUGUUUGAGAGCGGAGUUUCCUACAACCUAUUGGCAUGAAAGAGAAGAAACAGAAAUGAGGUUCAAACAUCAUAAAGCACAACCAAUUCACCUUCACAAUCAGUAUCAGCAACAAGCGCUAGAGGGAAAAGCUCACAAUCAACAAAAUUAUUGCAAGAAGAAACCAGGCAUGAAUACUGAUGAAUAACAUCACAAGUCUCAAAAACCCAGCAAAUUUUUUUUAUUUAUUCCAAUUCACACCUGCACAGCAUAAAACAGAGAAUUUAUUAACAAAACUUGCAUUAUGCUUCAAGCACAAACCCAUGUAGACAGACGCACCUGAACAGAGCAAAACCAUUCAUGAAGAAUACAUAUAUUACUAUUAAAAAUUAAAUUCUAUAAAGACAGUUGCAAAUAAAUCAAAAUAUAAAACCAACAAUAAUUGCUUUUGAACCCAACUCACUCAUAAGAGUUGGAAAAUAUCUCAUUCUUCUUCCGACAAACAAAAGAAUUAACAAAACACAAAAACCCACCCCCAUCANNNNNNNNNNNNNNNNNNNNNNNNNNNNNNNNNNNNNNNNNNNNNNNNNNNNNNNNNNNNNNNNNNNNNNNNNNNNNNNNNNNNNNNNNNNNNNNNNNNNNNNNNNNNNNNNNNNNNNNNNNNNNNNNNNNNNNNNNNNNNNNNNNNNNNNNNNNNNNNNNNNNNNNNNNNNNNNNNNNNNNNNNNNNNNNNNNNNNNNNNNNNNNNNNNNNNNNNNNNNNNNNNNNNNNNNNNNNNNNNNNNNNNNNNNNNNNNNNNNNNNNNNNNNNNNNNNNNNNNNNNNNNNNNNNNNNNNNNNNNNNNNNNNNNNNNNNNNNNNNNNNNNNNNNNNNNNNNNNNNNNNNNNNNNNNNNNNNNNNNNNNNNNNNNNNNNNNNNNNNNNNNNNNNNNNNNNNNNNNNNNNNNNNNNNNNNNNNNNNNNNNNNNNNNNNNNNNNNNNNNNNNNNNNNNNNNNNNNNNNNNNNNNNNNNNNNNNNNNNNNNNNNNNNNNNNNNNNNNNNNNNNNNNNNNNNNNNNNNNNNNNNNNNNNNNNNNNNNNNNNNNNNNNNNNNNNNNNNNNNNNNNNNNNNNNNNNNNNNNNNNNNNNNNNNNNNNNNNNNNNNNNNNNNNNNNNNNNNNNNNNNNNNNNNNNNNNNNNNNNNNNNNNNNNNNNNNNNNNNNNNNNNNNNNNNNNNNNNNNNNNNNNNNNNNNNNNNNNNNNNNNNNNNNNNNNNNNNNNNNNNNNNNNNNNNNNNNNNNNNNNNNNNNNNNNNNNNNNNNNNNNNNNNNNNNNNNNNNNNNNNNNNNNNNNNNNNNNNNNNNNNNNNNNNNNNNNNNNNNNNNNNNNNNNNNNNNNNNNNNNNNNNNNNNNNNNNNNNNNNNNNNNNNNNNNNNNNNNNNNNNNNNNNNNNNNNNNNNNNNNNNNNNNNNNNNNNNNNNNNNNNNNNNNNNNNNNNNNNNNNNNNNNNNNNNNNNNNNNNNNNNNNNNNNNNNNNNNNNNNNNNNNNNNNNNNNNNNNNNNNNNNNNNNNNNNNNNNNNNNNNNNNNNNNNNNNNNNNNNNNNNNNNNNNNNNNNNNNNNNNNNNNNNNNNNNNNNNNNNNNNNNNNNNNNNNNNNNNNNNNNNNNNNNNNNNNNNNNNNNNNNNNNNNNNNNNNNNNNNNNNNNNNNNNNNNNNNNNNNNNNNNNNNNNNNNNNNNNNNNNNNNNNNNNNNNNNNNNNNNNNNNNNNNNNNNNNNNNNCGUUCAGCAGCAACUCGGCGAGUCGACUCACCAUCCUCCCCAACUACCAACCAAGCCCCUCAUUCCAAAGGGCUCUGAAAACCUAAGAAAAAUCCAAACUUUACCAUCUUCGAAAACCCCUCAUGACCUCUCCAUAGCUCGACAUGUUAAAGCCCCUCAAAACCCCACCUCUCCUUCACCUACAAACCCUCCAUUCGCUAUUGGGUUCCCACCAUUUUAUCGAAUUCGCAUCAAGAACCAAGCUUUUCUCCCAACUCUCUCAUCCACCCUUCAAUCCUGCCCCAAACUUGGUGUUCCAAAUCCGUGACAUUCUGUGCGACCCUCAAUGGGAAAAGAGCUCAGAGCUCAGCUGGCUGAGCCCUAAGAUUAGAACCGAUCAUGUGUCAAAGAUUAUUGAGACCCACAAGAACACAGACUCGGCGUUAAGAUUCUUCUACUGGGUUUCUAAGAGACCUUCUUACCAGCAUGAUAUGAGCUGCUUCUCAUCAAUGCUGAAUAGGCUUGUGAACGAACGGCUUUUUGCGCCUGCAGACCGUGUGAGGAUUUUGAUGAUUAAAGCUUCUAGGAAGGAGGAAGAGCUUAAACGGGUAACUGAAUAUUUGAAUGAGAUGAGCCGACUUGGUUUUGAGUUUACAUUGUAUAGUUUUAAUACGCUUUUGAUUCAAUUGGGUAAGUUUGAGAUGGUUAGUAUAGCUCAAAAUGUUUAUACCCAGGUGCUAAGUAGUGGGAUUAAACCGAGUUUGUUGACAUUUAAUACAAUGCUCAAUAUAUUGUGUAAGAAGGGCAAGGUUCAGGAAGCAGAGUUGAUUUUGAGCAAGAUUUUUCAGUUUGAUAUGCUCCCGGAUGUUUUUACUUAUACAUCAUUGAUUCUUGGGCAUUGUAGAAAUCGUAACUUAGAUUUGGCAUUUGAGGUUUACGAUCAGAUGGUGAAGGCAGGUUGUGACCCGAAUUCAGUUACGUAUUCAACUCUUAUCAAUGGGUUAUGCAAUGAGGGGAGGGUGGAUGAGGCACUGGAUAUGCUUGAUGAAAUGGUAGAAAAAGGGAUUGAACCCACAUCAUAUACUUACACUGUCCCAAUUGCUUCACUAUGUGAGGCCGAUCGGCUGGUGGAAGCAAUUGGGCUUUUCAGAAGAAUGAGAAGCAGGGGUUGCCAUCCUACCGUUCAUACUUAUACAGCUUUGAUCAGUGGGUUGUCUCAGACGGGGAAACUCGAUGUUGCUAUUGGACUCUAUCACAAGCUUUUGAAGGAUGGUUUGGUCCCAAACACGGUUACCUUCAAUACAUUGAUAAAUGGAUUAAGUGAGACAGGAAGAUAUGACCUGGCUACGAAGAUUUUUUAUUGGGUGGAGAGACAUGGGACCUUGGCAAAUACCCAAACUCACAAUGAAAUCAUCAAAGUUUUCUGUUUGAUGGGUAACAUUAAUAACGCAAUGGCUCUUGUAAGCAAAAUGCUUAAAGUGGGACCAUCUCUAAAUGUGAUUACAUAUAACACACUCAUCAAUGGAUACCUCAGUGGAGGUCAGUUAAACAAUGCUAUGAGGUUGUUGGAUUUUAUGAAAGGGAGUGGAUGUGAACCAGAUGAAUGGACUUAUACUGAACUUAUUUCUGGGUUUUGCAAGGCAGGUAAGUCUGACUUUGCAUCUACUCUUUUCCGUGAGAUGGUAGAACAAAGAAUUAGUCCCAGUCAGGUUACCUACGCUGCUUUGAUUGCUGGAUACUGUAUGGAGGGGAAAGUAGAUACUGCAUUGUCAUUAUUUGAGCAGAUGGAGGAGAAGGGUUGCUGUCCAAGUAUUGAAACCUACAAUGCCAUUAUAAAUGGUUUGUCCAAAGAUAAUCAGUUUGUUAAAGCUGAGAAACUAUGUAAAAAGAUGGAAAAGCAAGGACUGGUUCCAAAUGUCAUUACCUACACGUCUCUAAUUUGCGGCCUCUGUAAAAGUGGCAGGACUGACCUUGCAUUCAAAAUCUUCCAUGAAAUGGAAGAACAAGGUUGCUUGCCGAACUUGUAUACAUAUAGCUCACUCAUGUUUGGGUUAUGUCAAGAGGGCAAGGCUGACAAUGCUGAGACGUUGCUUGAUGAAAUGGAAAGGAAAGGAUUGGCUCCUGAUGUGGUAACAUUUACCACACUCAUUGAUGGUUUUGUUAUGCUUGGUAGGCUAGAUCAUGCAUUCUUGCUUCUUAGGCGAAUGGUUGAUGUGGGCUGCAGGCCCAACUACCGAACAUAUGCCGUGUUGGUCAAAGGGUUGCAAAAGGAAAGUCAGUUGCUGACGGAGAAGGUUGUGGGGCUUGUGGCCCAACAUGAAGGAAUGUAUAGUUGCAGCUCUGGUGAAAGCUAUAACUUUUUUGAGGCGUUGUGCAAUCUCUUAGCUAGGAUGUCAGAGAAUGGAUGUGAACCUACUGUUGAUACCUAUGGUACUUUAGUGAGAGGCUUGUGUACAGAAGGCAGAUAUUAUGAGGCAGAUCAGUUGGUUCAGCAUAUGAAAGACAAAGGCCUGUGCCCCAAUAGAAGGAUUUAUCUGUCUCUAUUCUUUGUUCAUUGUACGAAUUUAAAAGUGGAAUCUGCGCUGGAAAUCUUUGGCUUGAUGGAAGAUAAUGGAUUUGAGGUUCACUUGUCAGCUUAUAACGCACUUAUUAGUGCUCUCGGCAGGGUGUGUCGGGCGGAAGAAGCUGAAACUUUAUUCAAAAGCAUGCUAGAAAAACAAUGGAAUACUGAUGAGAUUGUUUGGACUGUGUUAAUCGAUGGAUUACUGAAGGAAGGGCAAUCAGAUCUAUGCAUGAAGCUUCUUCAUGUUAUUGAAUCUCAAAAAUGCAGUAUCAGUUUCCAGACAUAUGAUAUCUUGGCCAGAGAACUUUCUAAAGUAAACAAGGGUAGGGGGAGUUCUCAAAUUGUUAACAGAGCAAGUGAUUUAAAGGGUGUACAUUGAUCAUGGUUUCUUUAUACACACAGAGAAAAAGGAAAUUCGUUAACUGAGUUCCAUUAAUGAACUAAUAAGAAAUUAUACUUUUUUCGCCUGAGGUGUGUAUAUAUUCUUUUGCUGUGACAACUUUGCAGUUUGAUCAUACAAUAAAUGGUAUGUAGAUGGCGCUUUGCCUUCAAACCUUGUUAACAUUCGUUUCUUUCUAUUACUGUCUUUGGUGAUUAUCAGAAUACUUUAGUUCUGUUGGCUUUUGAUUAAUUUGGUCGCAAUAUUUUCCCAAUAGUCACCAAGAAAAUUCGAUCGAUGGUUACUAAGUUUGUUAUCCUAUCUACAUGGAAGUGACAGGUUGUUUUCAGUAGAUAAUUGUCUUCAGUUGGAACUGAAAAUCUGGUGUGCAUGAAGCAGCAACCUAAGGUAGACAUGUAGGUUUGUUUAGACAAAGUAUAAAUGAAUGAUAUUUGCCAUUUAUGUGGGUUGAUGGUUGGUGCAGGACUGUGUGUACUGUUUGGCAAUUGAUUUAGGGGUUAGGAUAAUUUCUGCCUAUGCAGGCUUUUUAAUUACAUGGAUUAUCUUAUGUAGGAAGGCUUCUUAAUACAGAAAUGGUGAUGUGUGUGAUCAUCUAGGCAGGCUUCUUAAUUACAUGGAUAAUCUUCUUUAUGGUGCUCAUUUGGUUGGUUUUCAUUGUUUGACAUGCUUACACCAUAUUUAUUCUGGCUUAGUGUUUAUAAAAUGGAAUUGAGAGCUAGACAUUCUUGGCAUAUAUACUUGCAGGUGACACAGCUUGGACGUCCCCUAGUGGAAAGUUUCCUCUUUCCUCUGAAAAUUUUGACAAGAAGAUGUUAAGAUACACCUUGUUUGAUACCUAUGUUGGUUUAUUUCGCUGUCGUUACCUCAUACAAUUUUGAUUCAUUGUAUUCUUUACACCAAGAGUCAUUUAUAAAAUAUACCUCAGUUUUACAAUAGCAUAUGUUAUGGUUCAUUUAGUAAAUUUUGGUUUUAUGUUUUAGUUUUAGCUUUGAUGGUCAAAAUCAUCCUCUUCUUUUUUUGAUCUCUCUCUCGUCUCUUUUUUCCUUCUCUCUGUUAUUCUUUUCAUAAGAAAAAGAAAUAUAGAAACUAAAAGCAAAAAAUCUAACCAAAUUCCCAUGGGAUGGUCUCUUGAUUCUGUAUCGGCAAGUAUAACUAUUUUACUGUGAAUUAUCAACAAAAAGUAAUCUGCAGUUGCCACUGAUUUAAAUCAACUUAAAUAAUGUCUGUGAUUCAGAAUUCCAGGAUAAAUUAUGCUUUGUAGUUGACGUGAUGAAAUUAAUUUAAUUAGACAUUUUUGGUGUAGGGUUACUCAGGUCCUAAAUCGAGCUUAAUUUCGCACCAGGGCUCUUAGAAAGAACUACUGGCCAAGAUUACCGAACUUAGUCCACUUUUUGUAAUCUGCCUCUGAGUGUUCUAAUGCAAAUGCCAGUAUGUGUGGCCACUUUCCGAAUGUGGUGUUCAAUUUUUUUAAUUUUCCCAAAGGAUGAUAGUACUCUAAAUCUUUGUAGGGUUUUUUAUUGGGGUCGAGAUGAGCUCAGAGUUCGCUUUUUUGUCACUUUCUUUGUGUUUUGCUGAUCUUUGCCUAGUAUUUGCUGGGAUUCCCACUCCUUAAAUGAAGAAGGGUGGAAUGAAUAAAGGCUUGGUUCAUGCAUGAAGACCCUAAUAUUUCCUAUACACAAGUGAUAUUUUAUGGGUAUGAACUAUAUUGUGGAUCAAUCUAGAAAGGUAAAAACGCAUUCAUUAUGGUGUGAGUUCUAGUGUUCUCACCUUUCCUCCAAGUCUAAACCUAUACAAACCCCCGAGUAUGAGAAACCCUUUGAGUGAAAAGUAAAUUAUUAUGUGUAUGCAAGAGAGAAUUUUGUGGUGAAAAUCCCUGGAGGUGAUUUUGGAAGAAACUCUGGCUUCCCGGCAGUCAGUUCUUGUGAGAUUGUUCCUUUGUAAUCCUUGGUAUCUUCUAGUCCUGUCCACAAAAAAAUUCUUGUAAUUCCAUCAUUUUAUAUAGAAAAGAAGAAUUUGUUCCUGUCCUUCUACUAUUCAGUGGACAAAAGGCUCAAAUGCUAAGGAUGUAAUUCCAUUGUUUUUAUGUUUGAUGAUGUUUGCCUGUUUUGGCCAUACAAGGAUGGGAAAGUUUGAUCUUGAGUUUGCUAAUUGUCUUUUGGCAUUGUAUUAGGUGACUCUGGUUCUCAAAUGUAUAAUGGUUCAACCCCAGUUUCCAAUCCUAUCAUGGAACUGAAAAAUAAAUUUCUAAAAUUUUUGAUUGAGCCUGCAGUGUCUGAAAAAUUAUAACCACAUGCCACCAAUCUGAUUAUAUUCGUCCAAUUUGCAGUAGAUUUUCUAUCUCCGAACCUCUCUACUAAAACCCUGCAAUUAACUGAUCAUGCAUAUUGUAAGUAGUAAACUACUCUGAAAAUGAGGUUCUAAGUUGAAAUCUUUCUUCCUCUAAUAAACGAAUAAAAACUUAUAGUUCAUGAAAGGAUGAAAUUAAAAUUAGUUAGUUUAAAGAUGUGGUUGAAGCUAUAGAUAAAUGGAUCAAAAAAAUCAGUUUUUUUUUUUGGGUAAAUAAUAAAUAUACUAAACCGGGGUUGGGGAAAUUCUCAUAUCAAGAAGAAACUAAAGAGAAACCUAUCAGAACCACAUGGUGUGGUGCGGUUGGUAAAGUGUCACCUCCAGUUGACGAGUUACCUAUUGCCUCAUUAGCAUGGGUUCGAAACCCGUUAGAGGUACUUUGUGGUCAGGGAAAGCCGAAUCCCGAGCGGGGAUUAAUCUCAUCCUUUGAAUGCGAGGACAUCUCGUGGUAUUUAUCCAAAAAAAAAACAGAAGGGAAAAAAACCUAUCUGUAACUAAGAGAUGUGAGUUUCCAUGCAUUUCAGUAAAUAUAACAAAAUAGUUUUAAACUUUUGAAGAUUCUAGUUUCAUAAGACAUUGAUAUACUUGUCUAAUCGUAUCAUUUUCUCUCCAAAAAAAUCAAUAAUAAAUAAAUGAUAUUCUCCUACUACUGGUUUUUGGGUUCAAGUGCUUGGUUUUCAAGGAAGAAAACAAAGGGGGGCCAUCCACUACCAGAAAGGUUUAUGCUUUUGUUGAUUGAUUCUUGACAGAAUCUCUGGGUUGCUUGGACCCCCACAUGGCCUCCAUUAUAUGACUUGCUCUUUGUCACGCAUGAGCAAUUAUUGGCUCUUUGGUCAGUGUACCAUUUUGUAGUUAUACUCAAUCAUUUCAUACAAAAACCAUUAUCAUUUCAACUCUGCAAGCAUCUCUCAACUUUGUUAUUUUCUUUUCUUUUCUUGUUGCUGCAAAACCAUUCUGAGUUUUUGUUCUUGGGUUUUAUAAAGAAAUUAAUUUAAAAAUAUAAAUAAAUAAAUAUAUAUAUAUAUAUUUAUAACCCUUGUGAAUUUAUAAUAGUUGAAGCCUGAUUCAACUGGUUUGAUCACUUUCCACCAAAUAAAAAAUAAAAAAUCAAGGCCUUGCUCAGCACCAACGUUGCCCUUUUUCUCUGCUGCCAUAGGUCAACUACCAGUUUCUAACAAAACAACUCCAAAUCUGAGUAUAAAUGCUAAAAGGGCUCUGUUGUAUUCUGCAUAUAUUCUCUGUUUCCUUCCUCAUUUCAUGCAAACCUAUCCUAUCUCGUAGACCCCAAAAACAAGCAACAAUAAGAAUGGUAGGUCUCAGUUUUGGUGUGUAAAUUGACCACAAAACUUAAAGAUGUAAAUGACAAACAGAAAUGUAGCCUCUGGUUUAGUGAGCUUUUAUUAUAUUUCUAAUGCCAGCCCUUCUUCAGCUGCAUAUACAAAGUGCAUGAAAAAUGCAGGGCAAGGAAGGAUGCCUUUGUAUUUUUUUCCAUGUGCAAAGGGUCCCCAUAAAAAACAUCAGUACUUCAAAUAUAUUCCUUCUGAUCUUUGUCUUUUCUAUGCAUCCCCAUCUUCAAUUCAUGAACUUCAUUUUCAAAAGGCCAAGACUUUGAAGGCCAGGUUUCAUAGCAGGUACAAAAAAGAAUCAAUAUUCCCCCAAAGGCCACAUAAAGAUAAAUCAGAGUCAUCGAUGCCAACAGUGUCUUAAAAGACAACAAGACACAAAGCAUGACCUAACAUUUGAUGCUUCCAAACUCCAUUCCAACUGCUACUUCCAUUUUCAUUUUGGACUGUUUUUCUUGCACUCUUGCUUUUUCAAAAAGUGCUUUUGCCUACCCAUCCACCAACCCAGCCUUCUCUAGACUAGCCUUUAAAUCUUUCCCUUUGGAUUUUUGUUGCACAGCAGCCGAUUCUUAUUUAUAUUACAUCAUCCAAAAUAAACUACAAAAACCCAAUUUGCACAUUUUAAUGCCAAACUGAACACAACCCUUGUGCUAUAUAAACACAUCCAAUGCAUUUUGCCCCUUCAGCACCAAUUAUAGCAAAAAACAACAAAAACACCACCAACCCUUCAAGGCUUCAAAGUUCAUCAAACUCUGGUUUUCAAUGGGUAGGGAAAGUUCUGAUCCCACUGUGGUUAGUUCCUCCAUUGCUCUCUUACAAGAGAGGUUCAGACAGUUGCAGAAAGUGAAGGAGAGGAGGGAGGAGCAGCAGCUUCUGAAGAUGUUAUCUGAGACUGAUCAUCAUCAUCAAGGGGUUGGCUCAAUAAGGCAUUUUGAGCCUGCAAAAUUCUCUAUCCAAUCUGAUAUGGCCAGGCCAAGCUCUCCUGCAGAUCACUCACUCUCUCUGGGGCUUAAUUUGCAGACUAGACAAAUUGAUCAUUGUGCCAUGAAGACACAGCCUACCACAAUCUCAUGGCCCAACAAUACAACAGCUGCCUCAGCAUCAAGUGCUUCAAAAUGUUUUGACAAUUCAGACCUUGACACCUCUCUUCAUCUGUAGACAAAUCCUGGGUUCACUUUCUUCGUGGCUUCUCCAUGUUUCCUUUUUUUGUAUGUAAUAUUAGAAGAGUAUGUAACUAAUAUAACUAAUGUUUAUUCAUCUGAAAUAAUGAGAUAAAUAAAAGAAGAAAUGGAGCAGCAAUAUGCUAGCUGCUCUUCUCUUCAAUUUUUUGGCCCUUUUGUUGGUUUUGCUUAACAACAUUAACAAAUCAUGGGGACUAUAGAGAGAUUCAUAAUCAAGAAAAAUGGAUUGGGAGGUGAUGGGUUUCUUUUGUUCUGUUAAAAAAAAUAAUAAAAACAACUUCUGAAGAUUCAUAUCAACAUAUAUAUGUUCUUUUCUUAUAUUGAUUUUGAGUUUGUGAAGACUGAUGGUGAUGAACAAAAAAGUCAGCAAGGCCUGCUAGAUUCCUCAUAAACUUACCAUGCAGAUGUACUCAGUUAGAAAUUCCUAACACCACUGAUUGUUUAUGCUUUCUAUGGAUUACUUUCGGAGCAAAUACUUGGAACCAGAUAUUAUUAUUAGAGUUCUAGCUCUUGCUAGUGUAUUUUUAAUGAACCUUUCCUAUAAUAAGCAAAUUCUCAUAGCAACAUGGUCAGAUCUUUUAGGAAAAUGAAGUGCUAAUAAAUUGAAAUCUCCUGAUAACCAAGUUGUGAAGGUUAAUUUUCAUGUAUAUGUUAAGAAUAGGAAUAGCCUUUGAGAAAGAGAAAUAAAUCAAGGCAUAGUGAAAUUUCUAUUUUGUUAUAUUGGAAGUUAUCAUACUUUAACCUAUUCCAAAAGCCAACGGGCUUUAGCCCAGUAGAAAAUGAAUUUCACUUGUAGACCAGUGGUCUCAGGUUCAAAUCCUUAUGACACCUUAGUAUUGUGCGUGCCAUAUUUGGCUCUCUCCCUACUAUCGCUUGUAUUAAAAAACAUAUUCAAAAAGAAAGCAACUAUUACUGAGUCUAACUAGGCCGAGAACAGUUGUUAUUACUGAGGUGCUCCCUCUUAUUACUGAGAUUUUAGUUGAUGAUGCUUGUAUUUUGGCUAGGCCUAAAAUGUUUGCUAUUUAUUUCUCCACUUCAAUUUUAUCCACUUACACUCCUUUUUUAGUUAUAAAAUGGAGUGUAAGUGGAUAAAAUUGGAGUGGAGAAAUCACCACUCUUAUAUUUUUAAGUAAUAAUCUAAAUUAUACUAAAUUAAUUUAAUUUAUGAGAAUAUAAAUUCGAACUUGGGGAUUCGAUUUUUUUUUUUUUUUAAAAGUGAAAUAAAAAAUUUCAGUCACAAAUGAUUGACCCAAACUGAUCUGCAAUCUGGGCAGGGUAUUUAGCUGAGACUAAAUGAGUUAUUGGGCUCAUAUCAAAAGCGCCUACAAACCUAACCACUCAAAAUACACAAUAAUAGAAAAAUUUUAGUUUCAUCAUUUUAUUGAAGUACCAAAUUGCCCUUAUCGUCUCCAGAACCUUCCCAAACCCCCUCUCCGCGUCUCUCUAUCAGAAACCCCAACUAAAACCCUAACACCUCUCUCCACUCUUUAUCCCUCUGUCACUCACAACUCAUUGCUCUCUCUCCAUCUCUUGGCCUUCGCCAUCCAUCUAUCUAUCUCAAACCAAUAUGCAUAGGCUUCCUCGACGCUCCGUCUCCGCUAUCCUGCGCCACGGCGGCGCACGUCACCGGACCACCGCUGCUCCAAUCUCCUGCGCUUCUACCCACUUGGGUUCGGUGCGUUCUCUAUAACUCUUGGGUUUAGCUUUUUACGCUUUGAGAAAAUGAUUAUAUAUAAAAAAUCAUCUGAAUUUUUAUGUGUAUUUGUGUAGGUGGGAGAAACUGAUGCCAAAGUGAGAUGGCACUCAGCGUUGGCCUCUGGGAAGUUUAACCCUUGCAAACCCACGGCUCAGUUUGCCUCCAACAAUGGACUGUGCUUUGGCAACCGGUUUGAGUCCACUGCUGCAGCCUCUGAUGCAUCGGCCGAGCCUCCCGCUGAGAGAUUCGAGUAUCAAGCUGAAGUAAUGUCAUUUCACCUGUUGGGUAUUUUUUAGAUUGAUUUUGAGGAUCAAUGGUUUUGAGAGUGUUGUUUUCUUCAUGGUUACAGGUCAAUCGCCUCAUGGACCUCAUUGUUAACAGCUUGUACAGUAACAAGGAGGUGUUUCUUAGAGAGCUUAUCAGGUACCUAUUUGGUAUAUCUGAUAUUAUGUAGUAUUGAUUGUCAUUUCUUUCCUAUUGGGUUACCUUGAGAGUCCGAAAAUUGCGAUUGGACAGGUGGAGCCUGAAUUGAUCAUACAUUGGAAUUUGAGUUAACAGUACUAAACACACAUUGGAAUUCAAGAAAUAGUUGUUGUGUUUGAUUUAGGUGGCACUAAGUUAUUUAGCGUAUGAUAUGUUGACAUUAUGAAUUUUUCUGCAGCAAUGCAAGUGAUGCCUUGGACAAGCUCAGGUUUCUCAGUGUUACGGAGCCUGAUCUUUUGAAGGGUGGAGGUGAUCUUGAUAUCCGUAUCCAGACUGAUAAAGACAAUGGGAUCAUACAUAUCAUGUAAGCUUAACUGGUUUUUACAGUAUUUUCUUUCCCUUAAUGAUUCUUCUUCACCAUAUCAAUGGUGUGGUCUUUCCCUUUGUGUGAAGUGAUUCUGGUAUUGGUAUGACUCGGCAAGAACUUGUUGACUGCCUGGGAACAAUUGCACAAAGUGGGACCGCAAAGUUCUCAAAGUUGUUGAAGGUAUAAUAAGUCUUUGAGAUAUUGUAAGUUAUUUGAAUUUGAGAUCCUGCAUUGAGGUAUUUUAUAUGCUUACAAAUUUGGUUUAUCAGGAUAGUAAAGAUGCGGGUGGUGACAACAAUUUGAUUGGUCAGUUUGGUGUUGGCUUUUACUCGGCAUUCCUUGUUGCUGAUCGGGUAAGUUCUUAACCAGAAAACUGUGAGCUCCUACGACUUUUAAUCCGUUGCUUUCUUCUUUCAGUCAAGUGGCUGAAUAUAUAAUAGUGUUGGGGUAGUCCUCCCACUCCCCAAGUUUCUGCCUACCCUUUCCAUUAAGAGUUGAAACUUGUGUAUAGAAAUAUCUGAACUGCUCGAUUGUUAUGCACCUCCUGUGGGUUGUAGGUUGUCGUCUCCACAAAGAGCCCAAAAUCUGACAAACAAUAUGUAUGGCAAGGAGAGGCAAAUGCUAGCUCGUAUACAAUUCAGGAGGAGACUGACCCUGAGAAGCUUAUUCCUAGAGGAACCCGCCUGAGCUUGUAUCUCAAGGUCAGUGUAAAACAUUUUUUAACUUAUGAAUAAAUAAAUAAAACCCUGUAUAAUUUGCCUAUGACUUUGAUCUCCAAGCUAAUUCUUUAUCUGUCUGGCUACUUUCAGCGUGAUGACAAAGGUUUUGCUGUUCCAGAACGGAUACAGAAGCUUGUGAAAAACUAUUCACAGUUUGUUUCUUUUCCUAUAUACACUUGGCAGGAAAAGGGGUACACUAAAGAGGUAAGAGUUUUUUCCCCAUCUUCUCAAUGCUUGUACUUUUGUCAUUGGUUUUGUAUGUUGUAUGUUCAGGGAAAUUAUUGGGGACGAUUUCAUUUCAGGUUGAGGUUGAUGAGGAUCCAGCUGAAUCCAAAAAGGAUGGAGAAAAUGAGAAAACCGAGGUACAAAAGAAAAAAACGAAGACUGUUGUUGAGAAAUACUGGGAUUGGGAGCUCACUAAUGAGACACAACCAAUAUGGGUGAGCCUUAACAGUUUCUUCUUUGUAUGUUUACUCUGCUUUUUAUGGCAGUAACUUUUUUAUGCUCACAUGAUUCCAAUUGAUAUGUACAGCUUCGCAAUCCUAAGGAAGUCACUACGGAGGACUACAAUGAGUUCUACAAGAAAACUUUUAAUGAAUACUUGGAUCCACUAGCAUCUUCGCAUUUCACAACAGAGGUAUUUUAUGACUAUUAAGAUCCUCAACAAAUGCCACUUGUAGUAGAAUUUUGAAGUAAAUGUUGCAUAUUUCUGUAUUAUCACAUGAUGUCUGCUUCUUGAGUUGGAUAAAAGUUGUGUGGAGUUGACAAUAACUAAGUUAACUAUGGGUUUUUUUGUUGUAGAAUUUUUAUAAUUGCAUAUUUGUGGUAUAGUGGCAACUAUCAUGAUGUCUUCUUAAGUUGGGUAACAAAUGGGUGUUAUCUAAAUUUGAAUGACAAUUGAAAAUACAGCAUUAGUGCCUGAAGUUAGGAUGAAAUGUGUAGUUCUGUUUGACAAUGUACUCGUACUUAAUUGCUCAUAUAUUCUGCUUUUAAGUUGAAGAGGUUGGUAUUUGCAGGGUGAAGUAGAAUUCAGGUCUAUUCUGUAUGUUCCAGCGGUUGCUCCUAGGGGGAAGGAUGACAUAGUCAACUCCAAGACAAAAAAUAUAAGCCUCUAUGUGAAAAGGGUGUUCAUUUCAGAUGAUUUUGAUGGAGAACUGGUAAACAAAAUAAAGACAUUUUUACAACAGAGUAAUGCAUGGUUCUCUUAAAUGGAAGCUUAUUGGUUCUAAUUGCUUUUACAUUCCCUUUUGAGUAGUUCCCUCGAUACUUGAGCUUCGUCAAAGGUGUUGUGGACUCAAAUGAUCUUCCACUCAAUGUUUCACGUGAAAUUCUUCAGGAGAGUCGUAUUGUAAGUACAUCUAGCACACUGUCGUUUUAACCUUUAGGUUCCAAUUAGUUUACUUUAAACAAACUGUUGUUUCUGUGAUCUACUUGAAGGUACGGAUUAUGAGGAAGCGCUUGGUUCGGAAGGCCUUUGAUAUGAUCCUGGGAAUAUCCAUGAGUGAGGACAGAGCAGUAUGUUUUUGCUUCUGUUUUCUUAUCAUCCUUUUUUGUUUGUAUGUUUUCAGUCUUGUGGAAUUAUGGUACAAAUUUCAACAUCUUGGCAAUUACUCCUCAGCCAUGUCUUGUUCCUGAGUCCUGUAGCUGUGACUCUGAAUCCUGAUGUUUUCCAACCCCUCUGCUGCUUGGGGUAGCGAAUGAUAUUGCCCCUCUACGUUCUUUAAAGAUAUCCUUUGUUGUUUAUUGCAGGAUUAUGAAAAGUUCUUCGAAAAUUUUGGAAAGCAUUUGAAACUGGGUUGCAUUGAAGAUCGUGAAAAUCAUAAGCGUAUUGCUCCAUUGCUUAGAUUUUUCUCUUCCCAAAGUGAGGAUGUGAUGAUCAGCUUGGAUGAAUAUCUUGAGAACAUGAAACCUGAGCAGAAGGGUAUCUAUUACAUUGCUUCUGAUAGUGUAGAAAGCGCAAGCAAUACACCAUUCCUGGAAAAACUUCUUGAGAAGAAUUUCGAAGUAUGUUUUGCCUCUCAAAUAAUUUGAUAUAUUUGAUUAUGCUGUUUUAUGUAUUUAUGGAUGAUUUUUGUUGUGCUAUUCUUGUAGGUGUUGUACUUAGUUGAUCCAAUUGAUGAGGUUGCCAUCCAGAACCUGGAAUCUUACAAGGAGAAGAAAUUCCUUGAUAUUAGCAAGGAAGAUCUGGAUUUAGGUUAGUUCAUUGGAGCCCUUUGAGUUGAUCCGAUUGACUUGACAUUCUUGCUUCUUUGAUUAUGUUUCCUUUGCUAAGGAAAUCUGAUAUGUAUGAAUGACCUUUCUGCAGGGGAUAAGAAUGAGGAAAAAGAAAAGGAGAUUAAGCAGGAAUAUGGCCAAACAUGUGAUUGGAUUAAGAAACGUUUGGGUGACAAAGUUGCCAGUGUUCAGAUUUCAAACCGUCUUAGCUCGUCACCCUGCGUUCUUGUAUCUGGGAAGUUUGGUUGGUCUGCCAACAUGGAGAGGUAGAGUCCCUCUGUUGCUGAAUACAUAUGUCAAGAAUUCAUAUUACAGAACCUGAUUGUUAUCCUCUAAACUUGUGAUUGGACGUUUCCAGGUUGAUGAAGGCACAAACUGUUGGUGAUACUUCUAGCCUUGAGUUUAUGAGAGGCAGGAGGGUGUUUGAGAUUAAUCCUGAGCACCCAAUCAUUCAAAACUUGAAUGUACGUUUGCACGGAGAAAGCUACUCUCCCCAACUCUCCCAAUCUUAGAAGACUAUGGUUUUAGAAAAUACAGUAACAUUUUAAUCCUGGUUUGCAGGCUGCAAGCAAGAUCAACCCGGAUGAUGAAGAUGCUAUUAGAGCUAUUGAUCUUUUGUAUGAUACAGCUUUGGUGUCUAGUGGUUUUACCGUGAGUAUUCAAGCUUGCUUCACAUCUCUUGUUAAAACUGCUCUUAGGAUUAUAUGAUCUAUAGCAACCAUUCUUCAUUGUAACUUGACCAUUAAGAAAUCCUAGGCCCUGAAAUGAAAAUGCACUUGACCUCGUGGUUUGGUGAAAAUGAGAAUUGCUUUUUUGGAUUUGAAGGUGCCACUAUUUGUUGGUUUGAGACACUAACGCUACAGACAAGUAUCACUCUCUAGGAAUCUGUUGUAGCCCAUGCUAAGGAUGAUGAUUUGCAUGCUUAUUUGAUCAAUGUUUGAUCUUCUUACACAUUCAACUUGUAUGUCUUGUUGAUGCAGCCUGAGAAUCCAGCACAGCUGGGUGGAAAGAUAUAUGAGAUGAUGGGUUUGGCUCUUUCUGGGAAAUGGUCUACACCUGUCGCCGAGGUUCAGCAACCAGGACGCCAACACCACAACCCAGAGACGUUAGAGGCUGAGGUUCAGCAUCCAGGAACCCCACAUCACAACACCAAGAUAUUAGAGGCUGAGGUGGUUGAGCCUGUUGAAGCUGGUACCCAGAAAUGAGGAGCAAGAGGCAUUUUUCCUUUUUGACACUAAAUUCUCUUUCUCAUGCACAAAAUUCAGUGGGUAGGUCUUUUAGUGGUGCAGUUGAUAAAUGUCUGGACAUGAGUGUUAGAUAUAUAUAUAUUUGAGGGAGCUGGUGACCAGAAAUAAGAGCACAAAGCAACUUUCAUUUUUUGGUACCAAAUUUUCUUACAAAAUUUCAGUGGUAGGGCUGGCUGGUGGUGUUCAUAUAUGGAGACGAGUGUUAUGAUAUAUUUGAUGGACGUAGGCUGUUUGGCUGAACUCUAUGGGAUUACUUAAUAAUCUUAUGGUUAUUUUGACUAAUUCCUUUCUCUUUAAUUUGUACUUGUUUUAGUUUGUCUUUUAUUUAACUAAUGUGCAGCAUCGGAUUGAUCUGCUAUAUUCACCCCAAGACUGCAGAUAUUAUUUCCAUAUGACAUCAUUUUAAAUUCCGAGCCUCUUUAUUUAGCAUCAGUGCAUUUAUACGCGUUUAGAAAAAUCUAAACUCUUUAAUUGAUCUAAUGGAAUUUAAUUAUUUCACAUCAGCACAAUUGUAUUAGAUUAAAAAGUCUCCUUUUGCACUGUAUCACUUACUCAUCUAUUCCCCCUUCUCUCCUGUAAUCGCAUCAUAAUUAUCAAAAGCUGGAAUUUGAUCCCCAGAUCAAUUCGACAUGGCUCAUACCAAUAAAUUAUCUUUUUUAAUGUAUUAAUUUUGACUUAAAUAUGAUAUAUGAAUUAGUUCUCAUAAAAAAAAAAAAAAAUGGCUCAGAAUCCUUAAAAAUUGGUUCUCAUAGAUAGUCUGAUUCUAAUUUGUUAAUGGUGCAGUUUGCAAGGAAUAUAAUGUGAAACUAAUAUUUAUUUUCAAAUUUGAUCAAUCAAAAUUAUUCAAGUAUUAAGUGAGAUAAAUGUUUCCUAAAAUAUAAUUUUAAUUUUCCAUGUAUGCUACGGCAUUUGGCAAAGAAACAUGUGCAAAAGUCAAGCAGGCCAAGCAGUGAAGUUACCAUUUUGACCUUGACAGUACAACGUGUCGUGAACGACGUGACUGGUCAGCAAAUAAAAAACAAUACAAGAAACGUGCUAAGCCAGUCAAUUCCAACCCAAGACCGGCUGAGCCGGUCACCCCCAACGUUAAAAGUCUUCACUUUCCCGGUAAAAACACCGUUGCCGUGUCCCAGGGGCAAAAUGGGAAAACCACCUCUUCAUAAAAAGUGAAUUAAACUUCCCAAUCUGUCUCCGCGUCUGCUCUCGUCUUCUCUACUGAGCUGAAUUUCUCUCGGGCUUCGUCUGGUAAGCACUCUCUCUCUCUCUCUCUCUCUCUCUCUCUCUCUCUCUCUCCCCUUCUCUCUUUGUUCCUUCUGUUUGGUCGCUGAGAAAAUCGUAGAAAAUGAAAGAAAUUUUGUUUAGUUGGCAUCGAAUUUGUUGCUGUUGAUCUAAGAAUUUAACGAAAAGUCCACACUGAACAAAGGCAAG
rnacentral:lncRNA from 1 species